UUUUUUGUCAAUUCAUGAGCAGCUCUUUUAUUGUUAAACAAGAAUUCAGGACAUCUUAGUAUUUGUAAUUCUUUCAAGAAUGGAAAUUCAAUAUGCAGAUCUCCUGUGCAGAAGCUUGUGAGCUUUCUAAGAUCUCUCAUCUUUAGAUAUAGAGGUUGCAGCAGCUCUGACUCAUCUUUGGCGAAUGAGGCCCUUAUUUGACCUGCAGCACAACACAGCAAGCUCUUUACCACUUUAUAAGAAUUUCAAGUCUUUCUCUUUUCUUUAGCAACACAGAAGUGAAUUAAUGGGCAUUGUGUACUUAUGAAGGGAAUGAUUACAGGAUCUAAGCCCCUUCUACAUCACUACAUGCCUUAUGUUCUUUCCAGAAAAGUAACCCUCUUGAUGCUCUACGUAUUUUUCUCACAUAGGCUGCAAUUCAUUUGAUAGAAUAUUUGUAUCCGUAACUGUUGUGACUAUAGAGUGGUACCUUGGUCAUAGCUGUCGGCAUUUAUAUCUGUUUCCCUGGUAUCUGCGGCAGGUAACCCUCCUUGCCUAAAAAGAGUAGAGAUGCAAAUGCUAAGAUCUUUCACAUCCAAUCACACAGCAUGAAUACUAAUUACACCAACCAUAGUGAAAUGCCAGCCUAAUCAUAAUAGAAUGACACUUUCGCGUCGAAGUCCUGGCUUUGACUCUUGAUGAUAACCACAAAAUGGUGAAAAACCAAGCGAGGAUUUGUAAUAUAUAGCAGUAAUAUAGAAGAUAGAAAUUCAGGACUAUAUUUAAGCUUCUGUCAAAAGUUGUAUCAUAUUUUCACCAUUUGCAUCCCCUGCUGUACCGUACAUCCGCCUUGGCCGUACAGCAGAUUAAAACUCCAAACCCUGUAAAACUAGAGAAAUGUGUUCAAAUAUGUAAUAAAAAUUGAACAAUUAAUUAUAAAAAUCUUGUACGUACCUUUUUUGUCAAUUCAUGAGCAGCUCUUUUAUUGUUAAACAAGAAUUCAGGACAUCUUAGUAUUUGUAAUUCUUUCAAGAAUGGAAAUUCAAUAUGCAGAUCUCCUGUGCAGAAGCUUGUGAGCUUUCUAAGAUCUCUUAUCUUUAGAUAUUGUAACUUAGGGAACAUUACAAUAUUAUUCUUGCUUUCUUCUUGGUCGAUGACUAUUAUCUCUUUCAAGACAGGACACUCACAUAUCUCAAGGCAUUGGAGUCCGACAAAGCUGCUAAUUAUUGAAGAUGUAAAUAGACAGGUUAAAUUCCAACAGUUGAAUAGAAUCAGGCGCUUUAAAUUCUGAAUACCACAGGACAUGGCUGCAACUUGGUUUUGCCAAAUCCUUUCAAUAUUUAUUGAAGACAAGUACAAGGUCUCCAACUUCGGUAAUGCAACCUGCGCCAUCACAAAGUUAACUUCCUGUUAAUAUUCGUUUUACAUAACGCCAUACUAUUAGUAUUCACAAAGUUAAGUAUUUGCUGCACCUUAUAACUCUCUGAUGAAAAGUUUAGAACAAUUUUGGAAAACGGAAUAUGAUUAUUAACUACUCUUGUCCAUAUUUACUACUAACAAACUAGAAUAAUACAGAACAAAAAAAAAUAAGUAAAGAAUUAAUAAAACCAUUGAGACUUAUUAAUAACUAACCUUCUCAAGAAAAAGUGCCUUGGAAAUAUUGAUAUUGUCCUCCACAAUGAUUCCAUUUAACCGCAUAUUAUUUGUCAACUCCUUAUGUCUCUGUUAUGACAUUGAAAGCAUUUUGAGUUUAGAGCAUGAGCUAAUUGUGAAUAUAAACUUGGAUGCAUAAUGGCACAAGAUCAAUAAAUUAUUAAUGCAACUCAAAUCAAUACUAGAUCUAAAUUUACUAUUUUAUAUUCCUUAAUUAAGAUUCUAAAAAAAUUAAUAGUUAACUUAAAUAUGAAAAAAUGAAAAAUUAAACUUAGUAUCUGAUUUAAAUUAGAUAAAAAUGAAUAUUCUCUUCUUUUGUUUUAAUUAACCUCAGCAGAAUAAGGGAAGCUUUAUUACUUAAAAAAAAUAACCGGUUUAGAUUAGAUAAAUAACGAUAUAUUUACUACAUCAUCUAGAAAAGACAGGAGUUGGAGUUGCCCUUGCACCCUUUUUUUCUUUUUUUGCCUCACCCUUAUUAUCAAGAUUCUCAUUCCUUCUCUUUUGAGCUUUGAUCAUUAUUCUCAAGCAAUUUUGAGUUCCUGCUCAAUACAACUUGGGAGGGCGAUUUCCGCCACAUUCUAGUUGGAAGAACCAUCAACACAAGAACUUAUGAGUUAGCUCCUGAAUCGUCAAAUCGACCACUGAAUUUCCAUAAGGCAAUAAUUAGGUCUUGCGUUUAAGUGUUUUCGGUGACCCCACGAUGUCCAUAUUCACAUCAACCGGAAAUCUCUCCAAGUUAUUAAACAAGGAACUUCAUUCGCUCCAUCUGAAUCCUUAGAACUAAAGUCAUCGCCUUCAAUACUCCUCGAUUCAGAAGCUGCAAAACUUUGUGAGCCCCCUUGUUUAUCAGAAUCCUUAACUUUCUCCACCCUUUCGUCAUCUCAAUUGAUGUUAAAACUUGAUUCACCAUCUUAUUCCUGCUGUACGGCCAAGGCGGAUGUACGGUACAGCAGUUUUCUGUGAGAAUGUAUUUGUUGCACCCUACAACACUUGGUAUUAAAAAUCAUAUAAUUAUUAAUUACUCUUCUGCAAACAAACAAGAAUACCGAAGGACAAAAAAGCAAAAAUCAGAGAAUUAAAAAGGCCAUUGGGUUAUUAAUAACCAACCUUCUCAAGGAAAAGUGUAUUAGAAAUAUUAGCAUUGUCCUCCAAAAUGAGUUCAUUUGACUGCAUAUCAUUUGCUGAUUCUUCCUGUCUCUGUCUCUGUCAACAUUGAAGGCGUCUUGAUUUUAGAGUAUAAAUUUAACUGUAAACACAAUCUUUAAUGCAAAGUGACAAAAUAAUAAUAACAAUAAUAAUAAUAACAAUAAUAAUAAUAAUAAUAAUAAUAAUAAUAACAACAACAACAACAACAACAACGAUGACAAUGAAAUUAAUGGUUAGAUAUUUUUGUCAAGAUUUUAAUACUAACCGCACAACUUUAAGUUAUUGUAAAAUAACAAUAUGGUGCAACAAACACUAUGUAGUGUUAACAUGUAUAUGUUUAUUGUCUUGAUUUUGAUGAUAACAAACUUUAUAUGUUUUUUAUUUAAAAUGUUGGAGUUUUCAUUAAUAAACAUUUUCUUAAAAGCUGUACAAUAUUUCUAAAUGAGUUCAUGAAAUAUGGAUAAUUGUUAACCUUAAUUGAAAAAUCAUUCCCUACGAAAUUCUAUUAAAAUUGCAAUUCUAGAAAUAAACGAUGAACCAUUAAUAUUGAAAUGGUUAACCGAUAAUUUCCAGAGAGGGAUAAUCCUUAAACUUGAACCAGUUAGCAAAAACGGAUAAGGCAAAUGUGUUUUGCAGGUUACUGGAAUUAAACGGCGAACCAUUUAUAUCAAAUGGCUAACCGAUAAUCUCCAGUAUGGAAUUUUGUGCUAACCUUAAACCGUUUAACAAAAAUGGAUAAGCUUAUUUUGUAUUGCAGGUUACUAGAAAUAAUUGGCAAACAGUUAACUUCAAAUGGCUAACCAAUAAUUUUCAGUCAUUCCAUGCUAACCUUGAACCGUUUAACAAGAACAGAUAGCCGAAAUUUAUUUUACAAGUCUAUGGAAAUUAAUGGCGAACCGAUAGUGGCAAACGGUCAACUGUUUAUUUAAAUUUAAGCUCAAUGGUCACAUUGAUCAAUCAACUCCCUUGCUACCCAUUUGAAUUCACUACCUUCAAUAUAAUCACCUGCCAUCUUCUUGAAAAGACUCCAAGCUUCAUCUUCUUUUAAAACGCCAACCGAGAAAUUCUGUUGGGAAUCCAUACGAGAAAUUUUGUUGGGAAUCCAUCUUUCUUGACAAUACAUCUAGACUUCUGGCCGUCAACAAUACUUUACUUCCCUUGUGACCAUCUCCGUGAGGAAUUCCUACAGCCUGGAAAUCAAGAUUUUCCCAAAUAUUAUCUAAGAUUACAAGGAUCCUCUUCUCUUUCUUCAGUCGGUUACAAAGACUUCUUGCUCUUCCCGAUUCGGUCUCCUCAUGAAGUGUUAGGCCUAAUUUAUCAGCAAAUUCUCCUUGAAUCUUUCUUAUGUCUUGAAUUUGGGACACCUCGACAAAAAUCACCUGAUCAAAGAGCUUCUCAUUCUCGGCUUUUCUUGCAACUUCCUUCGCUAGCGUUGUCUUUCCAAUGCCGCCCAUUCCAUAAAUUCCAAGCAUGUUGACAUCAGGAUUUUUUAAUGCAUCAAGUAUACCAUUCAAAGUGGACAUUCUUGAUUCAAAAGCCUCAUAGUCUUUGUUGGACAGAAGCAACGAAUCAUCCGGAAUGAUGUUGUAGGAAAUUCUAUCAAACCUUCCAGCUUCCCGGACUUUGACAAUAGCCUCCUUCUGCCUCUCUGCUUCCUUACUAAGUCGACGGCGGAUCUUCAAAUUAGGACACAACCCCUUGAAGCAGCGCUUGUUUGCUCUAGCAUCAACGCCUGUAAAUUUCUCCGCUUCAUCAAUGACCCCAUUCACGCUUGCGAGCCACUUCUCAACGUACUUUUCAAUCUCUUCCCCUCUUCUUUUAGCCUCAUCAACCUCACGCUGUUUACUUACCCUCUCAGCCUCCAGAUUCCCAACUUCAGUCUUGAGAUUCUGCAAAUUGCUAGUGUACUUGCUCUUACGCAAAUAGCUCAUUUGGCGAUAUAUAGGAGGAGCCAAGCACUUUGCAGCUUCUACAAUAACAGAAAGAAUGAUAUCCGCCAUCUUCAAUCUUUUCCUUUCUUUUUUUCUUUUCUUUUUUUUAAUCAAUUUUUGAAGAGCAAAUAGAGACAGAGCAGAGACAACGACUGAACAAUGGGUUAAUUAGUGUUGUUGAGGACAGAAGAUUGAAGAAGAGGGCUUCUUGAUCCUUUUGUGAAAAUUCAAAGGAGUAGAUGGCAAAAUGGGGCAAUGCUGAAUAACAACAACAACCACAAUGAAUUGUGUCUAUAAUGUUGGUUUGUGUCAAAGUCAAAGAAAGUUCAUUGAGAUAAAACCUGGGUGUCACGACUCUUGUGGGUCAGUAACAGCUCAAAUUUCUUCCCCUUACUAAUCUCGUGAAUGUGAAGUUGAUAUUUUUCUUCCAAUUUCAUUUUAAAGGUAGGGAAAGUGAUCAUGGAAGGAGGACAGUUCUACUAUGAAGCCAUGAUUAGUGCCUUUAUUAUUAAAAAAGUACUGAUAUUUGAAUGCUACCGGAUGCGCUCCUUGAACAAGUAUCUGGCUCAAUCUGAGCCAUCGGUGUGUACCGCGAGAAUAAUCUUGUAACUAAAGCACCAGCCCCUCGGCUCACUUCAGCUUGUCAAACACAAAAAUAAAAUAAAUGAAGAACUAUUUAUGUUAACGAACCACUGUACACAUUGUUCAGAUUACAGUAUUGUCGUUUCUAUCAAGACGAUGUCUUUUUGAUGGCUAAACAUCAUUUUUCUUAUUCAACCUGAACAGAAGAAUCUGCGAUGUAAUCGAAGGAUGGAAAUUCAAUAUGCAAAUCUUUGAGACACUUGUGAUCUUUUCAAGAUCUUCUAUCCCAAGAGACUUUAACUCAAGGAACUUGGGUAACCUCAUAGAUUAAUGUAUUUGUUAUACCCACCUCACAACCGAUUGAAAUGAAAAAUUUUGAAUAAUUUUGGACUAUGAUUAUUGAUUAAGGGCACGGAUUCAUGGCCUCUUAACUUUGUACAAGAUUUGAAAAGUUUUUUAACCAUUAAAUUAAUGGUACAUUUGUGGUGGAGAUUAAUGGAGACGAUGACAUAGAUUAUUGCCCUCUUAAAAAAAAAUCUCCUUUUAUGUUUUAAAAUCUAAAUUAAAUUAUUUAUUUUAUUUUUUUAUAUAAGAGGUGAGAAAGUAAGAAGAAUAAAUUUUAUAAUUAAAAAAUCUGCCCAAAAAAAUGUUUCAAUUACAAAUUUAAAAAACUUUUUUUGGAAAAGAAAAAAAUUAUACGGAGAUGAGACGUGCACAAUAAAAAAAUAAAAUUGAAAAUUAGAGUUUAUGAUUUAAUUAAAGUUAAAUUUGACAUUCAACGGUGCAAUAAGAAAUAUGGGUUUUAAGAGAUUUAGAAAUUAUAAACGGGUGCCCAAUAAUCCAACUCUUUACUCUUUUGUACCAUGAGCUUGUGUAAGUUGGUACCAAAGCAGCAUCCUUGCCCAGAUGUAUCUAGAAGAAUUUGGAGUGUAUUUAGUAACAAUAGGAAACAUUUGCAGAGAGAAAAAUAAGUGAGGCCCAUUUAGAGAUGCUCACAUUUUUCAAAAUAUUCAUAAAUAAUCCACCCAAAAAAAUGAUUCACCUUUUAUAAUAAUUCAUAAUUGUAUCAAUUUUUUAUUAAAUAAAUUGGAAUUUGAGUUAUUUUUAUUUAUGGAUAAUGUAUAAACUUAAUCUCAUCCAUUUGUCUUUUAAUUGUAUUGUGUAUUCAUGAAGCCUGCAAAUUGCUAGAUUGCUAAAACAAUUGCCUCUCAUCUCCUGUUUGAUUGCUUAAACUAGAAUUGAAAUUUGACUUACCAUCACUAUCAAUGAAAUGAAUCCUAGAAUUAUUUGAAAGAUACAAUAAGAACAUGUGUAAGUUCUGCCAUCAAUUUCAGAUCAAAUUAUAUCAACCUCCACAAUAUAUAUGUCUCUUCAGUCAUCACAGCAUUGAAAAGUUCAAAAAAAAAAAAAAAUGGCAACCCCAAGUCCCAACUGCCACAAAAUAGACAAAGCAACUUACUUCAACACAUUACACCUUCUAGAAUACAUCAAUGUGCUCAACAUGGUAGCUAAGAUUUCACAAGAAAGAAAGAUAAUGAUUUAUUAAUUAUAUGUGCAUAUGUAACAAGAAAAUUUAAUUUUCAUCUUCAAAGCUAGACUUCAGUGUUUUGUGAUGCAAUGGAGGGUAUCUGCGACUCAACAAGGAUUGACCAGAGGACAUGCACAUCUUCACAUUGGCAAGAUUUCACAUCAUCAUACAAAAUGUAUAUCCCUUUAUCUGAAAAAUCGCAAAACAGAUGAUCAAAAAUUUGGCCGAAAAGAGAAAGAAGGCAAAGAUUUCACAAGCUGAAACUAAAACACAUUGGUGAAAUAUGCACAAGCUGCAAAUGAUGAUGCAUUUUGUAUAUGUCAUGCAAUGCAUCAACAAAUACAUUUUGAACAAUCAAAACAGGAAGACAGUUGAAAUCAAUCAUAAGUUGUAGGGCGCAAUUAAGUACUCUUUCUCUGAGUCGAAUGCAGGCGAAACCAAAGCUUCUUCAAUGGAGAGAAGAGGGAUUGCAGCAACCCCAUUUGAAAUAUUAGGGAAGAAAGUGCUUCAUGGUAGGUGAAAGAACAAGAAUAUAGAGAGCAGGGAGAAUAACUGUUGCUGUUGUUGCUUUGCUUAGACAGUGGUGAAUUACAGAUUACUAUUUGUAGCAGCAUUUCAAUUAUUUGCAGCCGAAAGGUUGUUUAAACUAUUUUAGUUUAUGGUGUCAUGUUAUUUUCUGUCCUUUUACAAGUGUAAGAGGGAACCCUCUUCAGACAGUAACAAUACUUGUAUGUACUCUUCUAAGUAUUUAUUGCUCUCCUACAUUUUCUGCUGCCUUUGUACAUCAAGCUACAAUUUCAGAUUAUUGUAUCAUUUGAUUGACAGUACCAUGAUUGUUGUUUGUUUUAUAUUUGUGGUCCAUCUCUGUUCUAUGAUCUAAACAGAAUGGGAUUUAUUUUCGUCGGUGGGGAAAUGUGAAGUUCAUGCCAGACUAUGAGAUGAAAAGUUGCAUAAAAUAAGGCAACAAGAAAUCUGAUUGAUAAUGAUGAGCUACAGCCUCAGUGUAAAGGUUAUUCAAUACGUAGAGUUACAUUUGAGGUAAAAACUAAAAAGCUAUUGUAGCUCUUACCAGAAAUUACAUUAAUCUGAUAGAGUUUGUUAAACCGGUACAACUCAUCCCACUUGUGUUUCAGAGUCACUUUGAAAAAGAAAUGUAAGGUGCCAUUUUUUUUGACAAUGGUGAAUCUUUCCCAGCAGAAAAAGGACCCCAAAAUUCAGUAAACAAUCUUUACAAAAUCACUCUCCACAAAAUUGGCUCAAAACACAUGGCAGGGUAUUUAUAGUAGACUAGGAUUCAAUAAUGGAACUUUACAAUGGGAAUUAAACAUGUAAUAAUAAUAGGCUGAGUAUGCAUUUAUAUGACUGCACAGAGGAUAAACAAGAUAAACAGAAAUGCAGCGGCUCCAAGAAUUAUGCCAAUGGUCCAGCAAAUCUUCCAUAGCAAAGUCAUUGAAAUGAAAGAACUUCGUCGUAUGGCCUGCUCAUUCAAUCAAAUAAGGUCAAAAAGAUGGAAGUCAGGAAUAUGCUUGAGUGAUAAAAUAGUUCAGUUAUAUCUAAACUCAAUGCCUGCAUAUGGCUUUGGGUAGCAUCUUCUGAUUGCAUGGGGCAGAAACAUCAUUUGGGAUGGUCGGAUGACUUACAGUAACAAUUUUACAUUCAACAACUUAAGCAGCUUAGCUUCAGAGACUUACCACAAGAGGUUGCAGCAGCUCUGACUCAUCUUUGGCGAAUGAGGCCCUUAUUUGACCUGCAGCACAACACAGCAAGCUCUUUACCACUUUAUAAGAAUUUCAAGUCUUUCUCUUUUCUUUAGCAACACAGAAGUGAAUUAAUGGGCAUUGUGUACUUAUGAAGGGAAUGAUUACAGGAUCUAAGCCCCUUCUACAUCACUACAUGCCUUAUGUUCUUUCCAGAAAAGUAACCCUCUUGAUGCUCUACGUAUUUUUCUCACAUAGGCUGCAAUUCAUUUGAUAGAAUAUUUGUAUCCGUAACUGUUGUGACUAUAGAGUGGUACCUUGGUCAUAGCUGUCGGCAUUUAUAUCUGUUUCCCUGGUAUCUGCGGCAGGUAACCCUCCUUGCCUAAAAAGAGUAGAGAUGCAAAUGCUAAGAUCUUUCACAUCCAAUCACACAGCAUGAAUACUAAUUACACCAACCAUAGUGAAAUGCCAGCCUAAUCAUAAUAGAAUGACACUUUCGCGUCGAAGUCCUGGCUUUGACUCUUGAUGAUAACCACAAAAUGGUGAAAAACCAAGCGAGGAUUUGUAAUAUAUAGCAGUAAUAUAGAAGAUAGAAAUUCAGGACUAUAUUUAAGCUUCUGUCAAAAGUUGUAUCAUAUUUUCACCAUUUGCAUCCCAUACAUAAGGCAGUAAAAAUUUGGUUUCUUUCAUGCCAAUUACGUACUGUCAUAAAAGCUACGUAGAAUGGACAAAAACAAAAUUUCUGUGGUUAGAUGAUACACCAUACAAGAACCAUAUAUCAGCCAUAACACAGUGCUUGGCUCAGCUAGUUUUCAAGAAGCAUAUGAUGAAUAAGAACAUGCCAACAAGUUCCAAACCUCCUUGGCAUCGGAUAUGGCAUUGCAUAGAGUCUGACGGCAAGUGCUUUCAUUCUCAGCUGGAUAUCCGACAGCAUUUUCCAUCGCGAUUCCAAAUCUUCAUUCGUUCUGUAAAUGCACUGCAACACCAGAUUACUAUCCAAGCAAUAUCACUAUGCAAUUGCAAACACCAUCUAAAUGCAAUGCAUUCUGGUCCAUAAACAGAUGAACUUCAACACAAGAUCGGGAUUCAUACAAAACGAAAUCAAGAAUCCCCUUUUCUGUUCAGAAUCAAUUAUCAUAAUAAACAAUCUAUGUCUAAUCUAACAAAAAUUCAGCACCAAAACCAUGAUGCAGAGACUAAUAGAAACUAAAACAAACAAAUUAAUUUUAACACUCACCAAGUGAAACAAAAAAUAAAAAAUAAAACAAAAUCAAUCAAAAUAAGGAACAUACAAGAUGGGUUUUGAAGGUGGGUUACGAAGAAGUGAUUCAAGGCGAUCAAGCUUCACUCCAACUUCCAAAAGCUUGGAUCUAGCAAUUAUGUCAUCGCUGAGACUUUGUUGCUGCUGUUCUUGGCUUUUGUUCUUGACUCUGCCAUCUAUCUCUUCCACCAACUUUUCAGCCUCUUGAGCUUCUCUUAACCAUGCAUCUACAACUAGAUACUGCUUAUUGGCCAUUACAAAACAGAACUCGCUGUCUGACGCUGUACUUGUAAGAUAAAUGAACAAAGCGCAAACAAACAAACAACAGUUGUUGCAUGAAUCUCUGUCUCUGUUGCGCUUGCUACACAAAUUAAUGUCCAGUAACUAAUUAUUAAUUAUUUCGAUAUAUAUGUAUACACACACACACACAUGCAUACAUAUUAAGGAGUUUCUUAAGCUGUAAAAUCCUCAAGACAUAUUUGUGGUAUGAUUUUUAAUGUGAAGUUACCAUAAUUAAUUUCCAGCUGCUAAUAGAUUCGGCAAUGAAAAUGAUUUGUUCAUUUUGUUCUUUAGCCUUCAUCGGGUGGGAUGGAGUCAUUUUGCACAUGAGAAGCAAAUUCAACUUAAAAUUUGCUAAGAAUUUGUAAUCGUUUAAUUUGUUAAUAAGAUUUGUCAUAUGAUAAAGAUAAUUUUAUUUAUUUAUAGAUAGAUUAGAUGAUGACAAUGAUAUGUAGGUCUAUUAUCUAAUUACGUACAAAACAAUUUUCUAUGGAAGUACGAAAGUAUGAUUGAAUAACAACCAUUCAUUUUGUGACAAAUAAAUCAAGAUUAACUUGAAAUAUUUAUUUUGUGACAAAUAAAUCUUGAUUAACUUCAAAUUAAUAUGUAUAAGCAUAAUUAACUCUACAAUGAUCCUAGACUUUGAAAAAGAAACUAAAAUAAUAAUAGUAGUUAGAGAAUAUUGUAACGAAGAAAUUGUCAUUAUUUAAUCAUAUGGGCUGGGUUGCAAGCCGAAUUUAUAAUCAAGAUUUAAAAAUUUUCAAUGACCAACUCAGUGUUCCUCUAGUAUUGAAGUUUGAUGUUGAAUCUUAAAAGUUAUAAUACUAUAGAAUUAUAUAAGCAUUAAUUGUUGUGGUUUAAAAAUUAAUUAAUUUGAUCUCACUCUUAGAUAGUGAAAAACAUGUACUAUUUGUUGAAAAUUAAUUUUAAAAAAAAAAGAGAAAAAAAGGAAAUGAACAGUAACAUAGUUUUACCAUGCGGCUUGAACAGUAACGCAACAUUAACAGUAACAUGGUAUGAAUAGUAACGUGAUUUGAACAAUGUUAUUUGUUUGAUUAUAAAUAUGAGAGUCUUUUAUAAGUUUUCAUAAUCUGAGAAAUAAUCCAAAUUGAGAGGAGGGAAAUGUUCUUAAGCAUGUAGUUAUAUUAAAGAAGCAUUUGGCUUCUCAAUAUGGGUAUUAUGGAUUUGCUUUGUUAAGGGAUAUUUCUCGAGAUUAUGUAUUUAGGGCUUGGGAAAGAGAAAAUUAUUUCUGAAAAUGUGGUUGUAAAAAUUUUUCAUAUAGUGAACAUUUUUCUUUGGUUGUCUUUUGACAAUAGCCAUGGUUUUUCUCCGAAUUUAAAGUUUUCCACAUAAAUCUUGUAUUGUGUGAUUGGUAUAUUCUUCAUUUACUUUUUCUAUUAAUUUAUUAUUUGGUUAAUUUAUUAUUUGGUAAAUUACUUGGAGUGAUAUUGAGAGAAAACUCAAUUUCCUAACAAUAUCUUUACUAUUUUGUUAAAAUUAUUAUUUAAAUAAUACGUAUUAUACAUUAUUAAUUGUUAUUUUACAAUUAUAAUUUUUUUUACAGCAAUUAUGAUAUAAAAGAUAUUACACCUCAAUACUAAACAAUACUUAAAUUUAAUUUAAUCUCAUUAAAAAAUAUAAAAAUAAAAAAAGACUACAAAGUUUACUGUUUUACUUUCUUUUUCUUAAAUGUCAAAAGUUAUAAAUAGCCAUCAAAUGUACUAGAUCCUACAUCAUUGCAUUUGCAGCAAUGGGAAGAAAAAGAAGAUAGAAAUGAUAGAUACUCAUUUUAAUAAAAAAUAAAAAUAAAAAAUAAAUAAGGAAAUAAGGAAUGGCAGUUCUCUUUGACAAAAAGUUGAGAAAGCUGCUUUGCAUUCAUCAGUCAUCACAUCACCCUUUCCUUUCUUUUUUGGUACUUGAAGACAUGCUUGUUUGUAUUUUGCCAAUUAUCCUUAAUUGAAUUAUAUGUGCAAAAUUAAGCUUAUAAGUAAUUUCGUCUAUUUCACACUCACAAUGCACCAAUCUAAUUAUAUAGCUCUUUUUUAAGGAUGUUAAAGUUGGAGAUUAGCUAAAUAUUGUCACAUGAUAACAUCGCUCAUCAUAGUGUGAAAAAUAUUAUCCACUAAAUCUUUAUUAUUUAUUUAUAUACACACAAACAUUUUUUAUCGAUAAUUUAGAAGUACUUUAAUCUAAGAUUGAGGUCAUUAAAGUCAUAUAUUUUUUAUUAUUACCAAAUAAGUUUCUCUUCACUUUUCUCAAAAUUAACAAGAUCUUUUUUGUUGUCAAUUUGUUCAUUAAAAGAUCAAUGAUGAAAAUUUAGUAGGAUCUCUAUAAGCGAAUUAUAUUAUACGGUACUAGUAGCAAAAUAUUAAAUAAAAAAAUGACUUCAGUCAACAUUGAAAGCGAUUUUAGUUCCAUUCUAGAUAAUCAAACAUUUUGUUUUCUUGUUUUAUAAGUUAGAUUAAACAAGAUAAAAAAAAAUGCCCAAUAAUGCACCUUUAAAUUCUAAAUAUUGCUGGGUAUUUUUAUAAGACAGUAUAAAACUUUCACCUUGAUGUAAUAAGGGUUCUUCUAAAAAUACUCUUAAAUUUAUCCAAAGUCUACUUGUAACAAUUGGUUCAAAAGAUGCUUAAAAAUUGGGCAAGCACGAGACAAAUUGAACAAAAGUUGACAAAAUGUGAUAUAAAAUCAAUUAUACAAGAGAGCGUAGAAUAUUUUAGUAGUGUGCAAUGAAUGUGAUAUGGUUUAAAUUUUAAUUUAUUACUUUUUUUGUUAUGAUGAUUGGGCCUAUGUCGGUCCAAUUAUGACACGUUGCAUGUGGUAUAAGCUAAGUAUUUCUAUUUAAUACGCAUGUAAUUUAAGGCACUUCAUUAAGGGCAACACACCCAAAAUAAUUUACUAACUAAAGUAAUAAAAUAAAUUUGAAAAAAAAAUAAAAAUUUGAUAAGUGAUUAAGAUGGACAUGGAUGGAGCCCAUGGUACUUAAAAACUUUUUUGUCCAUGCCUAACCCACGAUUGACUUGAUGGUUGGGUAGACCCACAUGGCACAUAUUUCAUUAAUGAGAUUACAAUGCAAUUUUGUGAAAAUCUUUUUUCUUUUUCCUGAUUUUUUUUUAAUGCCUUUUGAAAAUGAUUGUUGCUUGACUUUUUGCAAAUGUUAUUUUUGAAACUUGCCAAGAUGUUAUCUUUGUUUUACACAUGUGAGUUUUUGAAAUAGUCCAACUUUGCAUGCUUAGUUUUUGUUUUCUAUCACAAAAUUGACUCAUCUCUACUUUUUUUUUUGGUUAUAAAACAAAAACUUAUUUUUCCCUCUUUCAUGGUCAUAUAAAGAAUCUGAUUCAAUUUGAUCUAUUAAAUAGAGAAUCAUCUAUAGUAAUUUGUACUAUUUGCAUAAUUUUGGUCUCAUAUUUGACUGUUUAGAGAUAAUACUAGAGAUACAAAUAUCUCCUAAAAAUUAUGUUACAUCAAAGUAUUAAUUAAAUGAAAAACACUAGACUCAAUAGUAUGUGUCAUAUGGCAUUCAUAUAAAAAUGUCACGUCAAUUUUCAUAUCGUAGUUUGAACAAAGAGUUAAAUUUUUUUUUUAUCAAAAUUAAUGAGUUAUAAACGAACAAACGCAUCAUUAUAAUAAGUUUUGUCCCUCAAUUUACUUAUUUAUUUAUUUCUUUUUUAAAAAUAAUUAGUUGGGCUACAAAGGCCCAUGAAGUUAGAAGAUAAUACAAAAUGAGCCCAAUUUGGAAGGUAACGCUUAUCAACCGACCACGGACGUGAGUACCACGUCUUCUUAGUAAGAACUUAUCUUCCCCACAUGCCAUAAUAGCGCGUGCAUCACAUCACAAAAAAAAAUUCCUUCAACCAAUGAUUUAAAUAAUCGAUCUAACUUCUUAAAAAAAAUAAUCAAUCUAAAAAUUCAAUAAUUAUGAACUGAACUGAAAGUUUAAAUGAAUCUAAAUGCAUAUAUGUAAAUAUUAUAUAUACUUAUUUUUAUUUUCUUAAAUUUAUUUUUAUUUUCUUAAAACUUUGAAUAUAACCACGAAGUUCAUUGUUUUUAUUAUUUAAAAACAAAUGAAAAGUAAAAAUUAGCAAUUUGAUAUUUAUAUCAUUUUAAAUUCUUUAUAAAAUAAAAUUAUUUUUAAUUUAAUAGUUAAAAGAAUAUUAAGUAUCACCAUCUUUAAGACUAAGAGUAAAUAAUAUGUAUUGUGUAUUUAAAUAAUAUGUAUUAUGUGACACACAUAUAGUAGCAUCACAUUAAAUUGUAUAUUAUAAUUUAUACAAAGUUCUUAUACAUAUGUGGUACUAAUCUAAAUAUUAUUAAAAUUUAAAUAAUUUUUUUAACAAAGUCUAUUAAUUGCAAAUGAUAAGUACUUAGAUAGUUGACAAAAUUUAAGUGUCACCAUCAUCAAGAUUAAGUGUUAAAAAUAAACAACACAUUUUUUUCCCCAACUUAAAAGCAAGGUUAUUAUUAUUUUAAUUCUAGAAAUAGAAUUACGAACUGCACGCGCCAAAGCAAUGGGAGUGGUGGGAAAUAUUAAUUUCUAGAAGAAUAGAAAAAGGAAUAAAUUGGCAAAAGGGAAAAAAAACCGAAAAAAUCUUAAUCUAAUAUUUAGAUAACGACCACUUAGAAUCAAAUCCACAUACAAAAGAAUUUAAUAUUAAUAAGAUUAAGACACAACCUAUGGGGAUCAUAUAAAUAAAUUAAUUAGUAAUAAGAAAAUGAAAAACUUAUUUUUCAUGAAGAAAGAUUUAGAAAGAGAGUGACGAUUAUUAUUGACCAGGCUGGCAACUACUGAGUCUUUGUUGGUGACCAAAUAUUGGUCAAAUCCACUUAUAACCUUUGAAAAUUAUUUAGUAUUUUGAGCCUAAUUAAACAUACACUUAAUAAAAAUUUAUUACAUGUAUGCUUAUUAAAAUAAUAAUUUAAAAAUUACAACAUUGCAUGUUAAUUGAAAUAAAAGUCUUUUUAAUAUUAAAUUACAGUCAAACGACAUUACAAUCUAAAAAUUAUUGAAUCGAAGAUAAUUUUAAUUUACGUACACUAAAAUCUUUUUCACUUUGUUAAACGCUAUUGAUAAUAUCAAAAGCAUUUCUAAACAAUUUUUUCUUUUAAUUUUUGUAUAUAUAUAUAUUUAUCUCUAAAAAUCUUUAAACGAAUUAUUGUCCAUAAUUAGUUAUUAUUAGAAAUACCUAUAAUUUUUUAAGUAAAAAACAAAAAGUAUUUUAAAACGAUACAUCGUGCAAGCCUUUACAUGGGUGAGUGGUCCCCACACAAGAAGUAGAAAAAGAAACCGUUUUUCUUUUUGGCCACUCAUGGAUCAUGUCAUGCAUUUUCUCUUGCUUUUAUAAAUACAUGCAAAAAUGAACCCACAUGAAAAUUUAAUUUUUUUUAAUUUACUAAUUCAUCCAAUUUUAAUUUUAAACUCUCUAUUUAUUUAUUAUCAUCAUUCUUCUCCCAUUGAAGCUCCUUUAUUCCUUAAUAAUAACUCUUCAUUUUGAAGCUUCUCUUUCAAUUUCAGUUUUGUUAAAAAAAAAAAAAACUUUCAUUUUCAUGUGGGCAUGUCAGCUAAAGUAAAAUCAUCAGACAAAGAAAGAUUCUUUUUUUAGCCCUUUCUUGGUGUUGAGUGAUCUUCAAAUUCCAGUCUUUACAGCAAUAUCCAGUUGCUAAAAAUAUUAUCCUUCAUUUUCAUUUGGUCGUAUUUUUUAAGCUGUCACAAUCUUGAGGUAUAUUUACACUUAUACAUUAGCCUUUUUUAAUUAUUUUUAUUUUGAUGUCAUAGGAUUUUUUUUUUCUAAUUUUAAUUUUUUGUGUUGACAGUGAAACAACUAGUCUACUUUUUGUCUGCUUCUCUAAUUAAGUUUAUUACUUAAUUUUCACUACAUACAUUCUCUAGUUUUGUCUUUGAGUAUAUAUGUGUGUCUCUCAUGUUUUCUUUUAACUUUUAUUUCAUGGGCUUUUUGUGGAAAAAAUGUUUCAGAUUUUAUAUCCAGAUCAAAUCAAGCUUGACGGGCAGAUUUUGGAGCACUUCUGAGAUGGGUUUUCAGCUUUGUCUCUUGUAAGUGGAGGUAAGGGUUUGUUUGUUUCUCUUCUUUACUUUAUGUUCUGCUACUGUUUGGUUUUUAAAUUUCUGAUUUAGUUUUAAUUUUGGCAAUUUAGGUUUCAAAAAAGGGUUGUUAAAAGGCUUGUAUAGAGAGUUUGUAAAAGUGAAUUGAAUUUACUGGGUUAAAAAUGAGAGAUUUUCCAUCUUGUUUUGGGGAAAAUGGGGUACAAGUAGCAGAUUCUUCAUCUUCAAACGCUGCUAAAAAUGCACAGAAUUUGGUUACUUCUGUUUAUCAAGCUCGUAUUCGAGGCAGGUCUUGCUUGAUUACUAUUACAUGGAGCAAGAAUUUGAUGGGUCAAGGCCUUUCUGUGGGGAUUGAUGAUGCUUCAAACCAAUGUCUUUGUAAAGUUGAUAUUAAACCUUGGUUGUUCUCGAAAAGGAAAGGGUCAAAGAGUUUAGAAGCUUAUUCUUGUAUAAUUGACAUCUAUUGGGACCUUUCCUCGGCAAAAUUUGGUUCUGGGCCUGAACCAUUGGAGGGAUUUUAUGUGAGUGUUGUUGUUGAUAGGCAAAUGGUUUUGCUUCUUGGGGAUAUGAGAAAAGAAGCUUUUAAGAAGACUAAUGCCACCCCUGUUCCUUCUAAUGCCGUUUUCGUUGCUAAAAGGGAGCAUCUUUUUGGCAAGAAAGUGUUUUUUACCAAGGCACAGUUUUGCAAUGGUGGGCAAAUCCAUGAUCUUGUGAUUGAAUGUGACACACAUGGAAUGAAUGAUCCAUGCCUCAUGGUUCGUGUAGAUGGAAAAAGUGUGAUGAAGGUGAAGCAUCUCAGGUGGAAGUUCAGGGGAAAUCAUACUAUCUUGGUUGAUGGGCUGCCGGUGGAAGUUUUCUGGGAUGUUCACAAUUGGCUUUUUGGUGCAUCAGUUGGGAAUGCUGUUUUCAUGUUCAAGACAUGCCUCUCAGCCGAGAAGCUGUGGGCUAGUGGACCCCUUUCUGAUCCAAACACAUUGCCAUGGUCAUUCUCGCAGAGAUUCCUAGAUUCCAAGUCUCAAAGUCUUGGUUUUUCACUGAUUUUGUAUGCUUGGAAGAAUGAAUAGAGAUAUCUAGGAAUUUUCUUUGAAUGCUAACAAAAAGUUUUAGUGAGUGGUAUUUUUUUUCGAACUAUGUUAUUUAUUCACAAUUAAAUUGAUUAAAAAUGAGUCCAUUUGUAUUUUUCUCAUGUGCUUUCCUCUUGAGCAACCAUAGUAAUUGAAUGGAUUUGAGACGAUUUUGUUGUUCUUAGUCCGCUGUAUAUCCUGAAUACAUUAAUUAUUAAUUUCAUUCUGUCUUCUACAUUGAAGAUUCAUAAAAAGUGAAUAGCCAUGCUGUUGCAGUUUGAUUUUGUUUAGCACAUAAUGUCUUGUUGAGUUGAAAUAUCCUUUAAUUAUCAAUAUUUGAGCAUGGUAUAUUCUCAAUGUAAAUAUGCCUUCUUUUAUAAAGCCAACUCAGCUAAGUUAAUCAAUCGGUCUCUUAAUCAUUUUCUAUUAGUCGGGUUUGAUUUCCUUCUGUGCAGGAGCUUGAGUUACUGGAUGUGCUUAAUGAUGUUGCACAGACACCUCUGAGUAAAUGAAAACCUACCUUGAGCAGCAGAAAGACUUCUGAUGAUCCAUGGACUUUGGUAUGAAAUUCUUUCUGUUCAUUUUGUCACGUCAGUGAGUAAUAACUACAUGAACUAUAAACUAUUCUUGUAUUUAAUUGAUGUUUUCAAGUACGUAACCUGACAAAAUAUUGGGACUUAGUAUGCCUUGGCUUAUCUUUGUUUGAUGCUUGUUUGGAAAUUGUUGCACCUUAACGUUUGGACUGUUUUACUUUAUUAUCACAGAAUACAUUUCUAUUCUGCCAUUUUCACAAAUUAAGCCUCAGGAACCACAAAAGCUAUGGAUUCAUCUUCAUUUCCUUCCUUUAAAGAAAGAGGACAAAAGAGAAUUCUUUUACUUUCUCUCUACCUUUGCAAUUUUGUAGCUUUGAGCAUUUCACUCAGCCAUUUUUUUCAUUCUUUUUUAUACACAUAGUUUUCUUUUGCUCCCUUAGUCUCGUAUAAAUAGUUAGUUUGAUAAGAUUAAGACAAGUUUGGAGUGGUGUGCAAUUCAUGAUAUGUCCCAACUCAACUUUGCUGCAUCUCUGAAUUGCUGCUUAUGUUUUAGAGGACAGAUGAGCAGUCUAAUAAGAUGUAAGUACCAUUUAUUAGUUAUGUAACUAGAGAUUAUAGGAAGCAUAUUUGAAGGGAAUAAAAUGAUUGUGAAGAAUAAUUUAUGAUGUAAAAAUAAAAACGUAGACAUAAACAAUGUUCCUUGGCAAAAGAAAAUGAGACAGCUACUUUACAUUUUGACUUGGCUGGCAAAGGCCUGCAGCAUUUUUGAAGCCUUCGGCUACAUAUAUUGCCUCUGGUACUUUGGCCUUUUCAUGAGUAUGUCUUGUUGUUUACAGUUUAAGCAUGUUUUUCGAAUUUGAUGCACUGCAAUGUCAUUUUCAAUUUACAUUUUGUUUGGAACCUACUUUUAUGUCAGGGAAUGUCCACACCAUCGGCUCCGGUGCUCUAAGUUCUUGAAUCUUUACUUCUUAAUUUAGUUUCCUUACCUUACCACCUUUUAUCAUAUUUGAAACUCGCAUGCAUAAAGCUAGCUUGGUUGGUAAUAACAAUAGAAGCAUUAUGUACAACUUCUACAUUUAGCUUCAAAUAGAACAUAUUCUCCUAUGCUUUGUGAUUGGUGAAAUAGUGUUUAAGGACGAAGUUACCCACAGCUCCUCCUUAUACCCGCAAACUAUGUGUUUAAUGAUCCCUGUGCUGGUGAGGAAGAUUCAUUUCGAAUUUGUUUUAGAACUCAAGCUUUGUGACAGAGUAAGAAGAAUUAUGAUCUGCACUGCUUAUGAGUUGUUCACCAACCAUGAAUGCAUCACCUGUCAACUUCAUUGUUUGCGUCUCCUCUCUGGUUGACUUGCCGCAGGAGGGUUAUUUUUGGUUCAUAUUCUUUUGAUCCUCUUCUCCCAUUUCAUAGUCAAAAGUUUUUACUUAACCGUGUAUUACAAGCUGUUUAUCUACUGACUGGCAUGGUGAACAAGCAUCAUCCUCAGUUAUCCUUUAAGAGAAGAAAAGGAAAAAAAAAAUUUGCAUCUAUUGCAAAUUCUCUGAAAGAAGAAUUUGGAGGAGUAGAGUAAUCUUUUAUUAUCAUGUAAUUAAUCUAUUCUUUACUUUCCAGUCAUUUGCUCACUUUGUCUUGUUGCUUUUACAAAAGCCUAAUAGAAAUUAUCAAUUUUUGUGAUAGCUACUUUAAAUGUCAAUUUCCAUCCAAUGCUCUUACAGCUAGUAGACAAGUUAUAUCAAAUCAUAAGAAUAAAGAAAUAAUAGGUAGAUGCAUUUCUAAUCAAAUCGUGAAUCAAAAAUAAGAUGAAUUUUUAAUCAAAUCAUAAAUAAAAAAAUACGGGAGAUAUAAAAUUAAUAAUAUCAUCUAUAACAUGACAAAAUAUAUCUAAUAUUCUCUCUUAAUUAUCGAUUAUGAGAUAAAAAAUAUGCCAAGAUUUUCUACAUAAGAUCAAGCACUUUCUUGUAUGAUGUAUUGUUUGCCACUUAUUUAAAAAAAACAAAAGAUAAUAGUUUAAUCAAAAGAUCUUCUAAAUUAAAUACCCUUAAUUUGAUACUACAAUAAUAAUAUAAAAAAAAUUGGUCAAAAAUUGAAACUUAAAAUAAUAUACUAAAGAACACAACAAAUAUAUUUAAAUCGUCGUAAAUCAUUUGGGCCAGCUCAAUUUAUACUGACUCUUUUGGUCCAAUACUAUAUAAGCCCAAUUCCCAAUUCUCUGUUAAUUUCCGAAGCUGAAGGUCGUCUCCGACGCGCUCUGGCGAUUUCUCUUCAUCGAUCUCGAUCCCUCCUUCAUCACAGCAGAGGUAAUUUAUAUUUUUAUUAAUUUUUCUUUAAUUUUUUUUUUUGGGCAUGAUUGGCUCGUGCUAUCCCCUUGUUUGGAUUUUAGGGCAUUUUAUUGUGUUUGUUGUUAAUGCAUUAAAAAUAAUUGAUAGAAGUUUUUAGCCUCGAUUGAAAAAUAGUUUUCACAAACAAUUUGCUGCUUCUGAUGCUGCAAAUGAGUUGAAAUUUUGGCAAGAGAUUUUCGUGUAUGGUGAAAUAUGGAAUUUUUUUUUUUUUUUUGGUAAUGGUAUAUUUGAUAGAAAGAUUGUAAGUCAAAUUGAAUUAUGGUGUGUUUAAGGAGGGAUUUUGCAUCGUUGAAACAAUUUGCUGCUUCUGUUUCGUAGUUUUUGGCUGAAUUAUAGGAAAUUGUUGUUCGGGAACAAAAGGGUCGUAUGAAUGUUUUCUGCAAAGAACAUUGUGGAUGCUUUUUGAGCAAUAAAAUACUUGAUGUACUUUUUUGAGAAGUAUUUGACUGUUGUUUCCCCUCUCCCCUCCCCAAAACAAUUAGCAAAAAAAGAGGAGAGAGUUCAAAGCCCUUUUGUUCCGAUCCUUUUUCCAGCUUUUCGAUAUUAUUGGAUUCUAGCGAAUGAAAAUGGUUAAGCGACCAUUAAAUCACCACAAGUGAACUUGCUCUCAUGCCUUUCUAAUGCUGUGUUCGUUUAGCUUCACAGUGGUUUGGUUCUGGUUUUGUAAAUAUCCUUUGAACUCCUCUUUGACUUUCAAUUUGGUAUAUUUUGGCUCCAUUUGGUAUCGUGAGCCACAUUAUGAAAUAAAAAUUGAUAGUGCUUGGUAAAUAUGAUUUUUAAAUAUUAGCUUUAACCAAAAUAGUAAAAAUUAAUAUUUUUUUUUUAUCCAACAAAUUGGGGUAAAAUCACUUUUAAUUCCAAACUAUAGUUGCAAAUAUUUACCAGUCACUUUAGGGUUGAAGAUGCUAGACAGCAAUACAAAUGGAGUCUUUGACUUUUUAUAAUUUGCAUAAUUAUUAUACUUGCUUUGUUGAAAGUUGAUUGUUAUGUUAUAACAUCUUAGGAUAAUUACAGAGCAAACAUAAUGGAAAAUGAGAUGCUUUAUGUUCAGCAACACAGAUUUGUACUUUGUGAUGUGUUAUAAUGUUGGUUUUACUUAUUAAUUUAUUUUAAUUUAGAGAAAAGAAGUCAAUAAUAUAUAUGAAAGCUAGUAUUCAUUUCAUAGCUCAACAAGCGAAUAGCUGACCAUGAGCACAACCAACACAAGACCGUCCUCCUCGGUGAGCAACACCAUAACAUUACAAGAGCCAGGGAGCAGCCAACAAACUCUGGUCUUGCGGCUUAAUCCAAGGAAGAAGAAGGUAACGUGGAAAGAGGGAACUGUAGACAAUGAAUUCAUGGGAAAGAAGAGUUCCAAGAAGUGCUGCAUCUUCCACAAACAGAAGCCCUUUGAUGAAGAUAACAGUGAUGAAGAAGAUCACGAUCACCAUCAUCAUCAUCAUGACCACAAAUGUAAGGACGCUGGUGAGCCGUCGACCAGCAAUUGAUUGAUUGAUUGAUUCAUCAGGAUCCAUGUAAGUGUACAAGAAGCCAUUGGAUUUGUUUAUGUAAAAUUAGGGGAAAAUUGCUGAAUUUGGGAAUUUGAUAUUCUCUGUCUAAGUGCUUAACAUUUGACAAGAUUUGUGUAAUAUCUUUUUACUGAUAUGAAAUCAUACAGAAUUAGCCUCAUGGUUUGUAUCUUAGGAGUCGAAGCCAGAGUUCUGUAUGGGUUCGAAUCUAGCCCAUACAAUAAGGCAUCUGUUUCUGAGAUUCUUACCCAUAAAAAAUAUCAUUUGAAGAAUGAGAAUAUUUUGGAUCUUCUUGGCAAAAUACAAUCCUCAUGUUGUUACAUACUAUAGAAACUUUGGGUUGGCGGUGUGGGAAAAACGUUUUCCCAUCUACCAUUACUGAGCAGCAAAAGCAGGAGUAGUUGCAUACUUGGCAGUCGAAUAUAAAUUCUUUUUUGUUUCCGGAAAAAUCCUAGCGGCUGUAGGAUUGCGGUUGCGGUUGAAAUUCAAUAAGCUACUUAUUUUAUAAUUUUUUAUUAAAAAAAAAGUGUUUGGUAACUGUUGUAAAAUCCACCCAUUUUAUAAUUUUUUUUUCAUUUUGUCAACAGCUUUUAAAAGUAUGUAAGGGGUUGUUUUUCAUAAGCAACUUAUUUAAUAAGUUACCACACAUUUUAAAAAUUUCUAUUAUAAUAAUAUAUUUUAAUAAAAAGACAAUUCUAUUUUACUUAUCUAUAAAUCAUCAUGUAUCAUAUUACUGUUAUAAUUUAAUUACCGCCAUAACCACAUACGUUCUCUCCAAUUUUGAUCCAAUAAGUUCAUAUUCUAAUUUCAUAACUAUGGCUCUUAAAGUUUCGUCUAUAUAUAUUUAUAUUUUUAUUAAUUAACUCUUUCAAAUCCAUUGGCAAUCUAUUUUAAAAAAGAAUUCUAAUUUAUUAUAAAUGUAAUACAUAUUACUUUUUAUUUUAUUUGAAUUAUGUAUAAGUAUGAAUUUUUUUAUCAUAUUUUAUGUAACAAAUUAUGAAGUUCUUUAGUUUUUUUAAUUGAGUUUUUUAAUGUAAUUUUACAUAUUUGAGAAAAAAAAGAUGUGUAAACAAUUUAUUAAAGAUAUUCUAAAAAUAACAAACAAUUAAGAUUUUGUCUAUUUUAGUCAUUAUAUAAUAAAAUAAUACUUUUUGUAAUAAAAUUUAUCAAACACAUGUAUUCUACUUUUUAAACUUACAGUAAUCACAACAAUACAGUAUACCAAACACUAAGUUAUUUUUUUAAUCACUAAUUUAUUUCAGUACAACACAAACAAUUUAUUUCAUCAGUCUCGCGCACUCCCAAAGUAGCCAAGACAGCAAGACUGUAAUUGAUUUGUCCUAGCGGCCAUAAUUAAUUUGACAGUUUAAUUUUUUUCUUAUGGUAUGCAUAAUUGUAUGAUGAACUCUGUCAUGAGGCGGGUUUCUUUACGACACGCUGUUAUAUGUACUGCGAUUGGGUCAUCUUUUCACGACUGCUUUUAAGUAAACCGACACAAGUAAUUGCAGGCAAAAGCCACUGCCGUUUCCUUCUUUUCCCCUCAUAUUGAAACAGGUCAAUGCAUUCUCUCAUGCAUGCAUUAUGUUUUGGACAUGUGACAUAAUUGAGUGGCGUGUCCGUGUCUCGUAGCUUUAGCAUAAUUGAGUAAAUAUGGUCAAAAGUAUGCAGCUAUCCAGCUGCCAGACAUUGCCUUGCCCUUAAAUUCUUGAAGCCAGUCUGUGUUUUCAAAGCAGCAAUUCUGUUCGUACAAUUUAUAAAUGCAGUUGUAGAAUUGUGUUGCUCUUUCCUAUGCACGUGCAAUAAAUAUGAUCGGCGCGUCGCCUAAGUGCGCGACAAAUUCGCGUGUCGUCACUUCCCCGUUUACGAUGAAAUUUUAACCUCAGCACUUUGCUGCCUCUUUGCACGUUUUAUUGUUAAUUCAUUCGGCGUCAUUUAAUCCGUAAACUGAGGCGCCCGUUUUUGCCUUUUUGCAUGUACCGAAAUAAAAGGCUCCCUCUGCACUCUAAUAAUUAUUAACUUUCAAGGGUAAUCUUGUUAUCUAAAGUAAUUUUGUUAUCGCCUUUUGAAUUUGUUAUUUUCAUCUUUAUUUCAAAUUUCAAUAACUAUGCAAACUGAAUUUAUUUAUAUGAAAAAAAAUACUAAAUAGUGAAGAGCACGUAUUUAUAAUAAAAUCUAAAAAUCUAUCGAUAUUAGCUCGAAAAUCUACUCUAACUGACAACAUUUUGGGAGAAGUCUAUUGAUAUUUCAUAAUUUUUUUUAUUGUUAUUAUUUUAUAAAGAGGGAAAGAGCCCUCUUAAGGACUCAAAUUAACUCGAAAAUCUACUCUCACUGACAAUAUUAUGAGGUUAAUAAAAUCACUUUCUUUAUCACUUGUCUUCUUAUAGACUUGCGGAAAAAAUUUUGUUAUUAAAAAACAAAUAUGUUUCAUUUGAGCUGCAAGUACUCUGUUAUUUCAUAAUGUUAAGUGAAAGAGAAUCGCUCAAGUGCUUGAUAAAUCUUGCUAUUAAAUUAUUAUAAAAAUACCAAUGGUUAUUAUAGGUAUAAUAUUGAAUGAAAUAUACUUAUCCAUAUAUAAAUAUGUAUAUGUGUGUGUAUUGGUUGUGUAUACUAAUUGGUAAAAAAAAAUGGUAAUUGUACUUAAUAAUUUUUUAUUAUAAUAAAAAGAAUUAAGAAUAAAGAAGUAAAAUUUUUGGUCUGCGUAAAAGAUGUAAGGAUAUAUGUGGAUUGUGUUAAAGAUAAAAUAAAUUUCAAAAUUUUAAAUUUUAAAAGAUGCUCAUUUCUUAUUCUUUAAAGUCUAUUCUAUCCCGAAAUUUAGGGAUUUGUCUAUCAUUAUUAAGAUGAGGUGAUUUUGGUAAAAAAAAUAAAUUAAAUUAUAACACUAAAAUUAGUUUUAACUAAUCAAAACCCUAAGGAGAGAAAUGUCAGAACAAUUGAGAUCUUUUUGUUAAUUUACGUAACUUGAUGGAUGAUGUGUUUACUGGAAGCAACUGAGCGCGAACACUGAUGAUGAGCUGGCGCAAUAUCUAAUGCCAGCCUUUUUGCGGCUUCCAGGUGUCAUACAGCUGUGCGAUACCUCCGCAAUACGCCACCGUUUCUGGUAUUCAAAUCUUCCGAGUCAACAAUGCCCUCGACCGACCGUUUUCUCAGAAAAGCCCUAACGGUCACUUGGCUCAACUAAAAACAAACAAUAAGACAAACAGUCAACCCGCUGACCCAAGCCCGAAUCCGUCAUUUCGUAUCAAGCAGCGUAUUAUGUACACGGACAUUCGUGAAAUUGGAAAAUUCGGAGGGCAUUUCGGUAAUUUAGCCAAAAUGAAGGGGAGCCACAAGAACAGUAACAAGAACAACUGCUGAAACAGAACAAGAACAAGGGAAUCUAACUCAGUGAUUUGUUUUUGUUAUUAGCUCAAGCUCAGCCUCAGCCUUUUAGCUGCAUUACUGUGAGAAGUUUUAAAGAACCGAGUCAUGGGCGAGUCAAGUGACUCUGUCUCAAUAGAUAUUGACAUGGUUCCUUUUGGAGGAAAGGUGACCAAACUACCCAUCAAGCCACUGCCCAUUUUAUUUAUUUGUAAUUUUCUACAUUUAUUUAAUGUGUUUGAUUAAUUUUAUUUGUGUUGUGCGUGCAGGAAUGCGUGGUGAAGACAAGCAGAGGUUCCGUGAGUGUGUUUGUGUGUGGUGAUCAAGAGAAGCCCGCUUUAAUAACAUACCCAGAUGUUGCUCUCAACUGUAUGUUUUUUUUUUUUUUUCCUUUUUUCAUUUUUUUCAUUUUUUUUUAAUUUUCUGGCCCAAUGGCUUGUAAUAUGAAUGCUGUUUAUUUCUUGAUUGAGGGUUGUUUCUGGGUUGUUGUUUGUUUGAGUUUUGGUGGUAAUUUGAUUGCAUUGCUGUAUGUUAAUGCAAAUGUGUUAAGAAAGAUUGAAUUUAUUGGAGACAGUAUAUGAAAUGGUUCAUCUUUAUUUGAUUUAAAUAAUCGCUUCAGUUUUGGAUUUUUGAGUUCCUACUUAAAUGUGAAAUAAUUUUGGUUGUUUUGGCUUUAUGGGCUGUACAGAUUCAUUUUGUUUCCAAGGACUCUUUUUUUGCCCAGAUGCAGCUUCAUUGCUGCUUCAUAACUUCUGCAUUUAUCAUAUUGAUGCUUCGGGGCAUGAGGUCAGUAUUAGAAUUGGACUUCUUGUCCUCUUUGGGGAUAGGUGCGGUUUAACUGUUUAUUUUGUGCUUUAGUUUGAGUGAUAUUAAUAAAGUACUGUUUCCCCAUUUGUUUAAGAGUUCCUGCAGUUGGGAGCUGAUGAGAUUUCUUCAGAUUUUCCACUGCUUAAUGUGGACGACUUGGCAGAGCAAGUUGCUGAGGUGCUCGAUUUUUUUGGGUAUGUAAAUGCUUGUCCUUUUGUACUUGUGAUUUUACUAAGUAGUAAGUUCCAAUUUUCGUUUUGAUUGACUGUUUCAUGUCUCUUGGGAAAUUUGAAUAUGAAGUUCUUGUUGUAUCAAUUUGCAUCUUUUGCAUGUUCAUAUUCUAAUUUAAUCAUUGAUUUUAUUGCCACUUGACUGCAAAUGCUGUUGUAGCUUCAGCUCAAAAAUCUUACUAUUGCUUUCUUGUUGAAACUCCAUUUGAAGCUAAUUUUCCUGAUAAUAGUGUGUUCUGAAUUGACCCUUGGCUUCUAUUUCUGAAGAGCAUGACAUAUUUAUUGGCUCAUGUACCUGAAUCAGGCUGGAAAAAGUACUGUGCUUGGGAGUGACUGCUGGCGCUUAUAUCCUCACACUUUUUGCAGUAAGUUCAUGAGAGUUGGCAGCCCUUUCUGUCAUUCUUAAAUUUAGGUUCUGCUAUCGGAUUCAUGAGUUUCACCAUUUGGCAGAUGAAAUAUCAAGAGCGGAUGCUUGGGCUAAUCCUUGUUUCCCCUAUUUGCAAAGCACCCUCGUGGACAGAAUGGCUUUACAACAAGGUACUGUGCAACAUAAUUUAAAUCAGCGGCACUUGUCAUGAGAAAACUUGUAUGGGGCAUAACUUGCGUAAUGGUAUAAAUAUAAACACUUGCAUUUGUCUGUAUUAAAACGGGUGUGAGAUGGGAAACUGAUAAAGCUAAACUGCAAUGUGGGUAGCUAAUUAGUAUGUGGAUGUGUUGUAGUAUAAUAACCAAAACUGAAAUUAGCAUGAUCAUUUAUUGAGGAAUUUUAAAAUAUUUUGGAAUUCUUCUUUCAGGUGUUAAUGAACUUGCUAUACUUCUAUGGUAUGUGUGGAGUGUUGAAAGAAUGCCUUCUCCAGCGUUACUUUAGUAAGGUAGUCUAGAUUGCCCUAUUUCUGGAUGUAUUUAAUCUUGCAUAUCUCAUCAUUUUCAAGUUCUUCUGGCAGGAAUUUAGGAGUGGCGAACAUGGUGCAGAAUCAGACAUCAUUCAAGCUUGCCGAAGGGUAAGAACUCUGAUCUCUUUAGAUGCAAUCAUUCAGUCUGUGUGUCUUUAAAUGUUUGGGAAGGCUUUCCCUCUAUUUAUCCUAUUGUAUGUUAAAACAAUACAUGAGUACAAAUUGAACCGCUUUGCUUCGUGCAUAUUCAGGUUCUGGAUCAAGGGCAAAGUUUGAAUGUCUUGCACUUUCUUCAAGCAAUUAAUGAGUAAGUUCAUCUUACUCUUUUCUGUGCCUGUUUUCUAAAGCUUAGCUUCUUCAACUCAUGAAGGCUCAAAUCUAUCAUCAUAACAAAUUUUUUCUUCCUUUCCUCUGAAUGGUUUUAAAAUGAUUGGCAUCUGCUAUUCUGAAACACGUUACAUAUUCACAUCUUGACAUAGCUAAUCUGAACUGUUUGAGAAUUGGUAGGCUAGACAUAUGGUUUCGCCUCUUUGAAUCUUUCUACAUCUGUUCAAUGGAAUUUUAUAAAAGUGGGUGAAGGUUCAUAUGUUGUGAUAAUGCUUUCAUAAAUUGACUACUCAGCUUCUUUACAGGAGGCAUGACCUUACAAAAGGCUUGAAGGAACUGCAGUGUAAAACACUUAUUUUUGUGGGUGAAAGUAGUCCAUUCCAUACUGAAUCUCUGCAUAUGAGUGCCACAAUGGGUAGCAAAAACUGUGGUCUCGUUGAGGUAUAAUGUUUUUCACAUUGUUGAAUGAUUCUUAUUCAUUGGUUAUGUAGCGUAACUUUCAUUGUAAGUUCAAUCCUAUGAUCUCAACCAUCAAAUUAGUUAUAUAGAUGGCUUGAGAUUUGAAUAACUCACAGAUAAAUGCUGAUUAUUUUAUAUAACUCCAAGCUUCUAUGAAAGAAAUAUAGAAAAAGGGAGGAAUGCAAACAAGUUGAUUUUGAUCUUAUUUUGCAAUAACAUGGCAGAGACAGGGAAAUAAAUGGUGAGAUAGAGUAUGCCUUUUAAAAUAAAGGAGAAGACCUCUACAAGUAUACAUGCGUAUUAUGCUAAAAUAUCUACAAGCAGGACAAAUCUAAAUUAGCUGACUCAGUGGAGAACUUGUGAAUAAUAACUCAGAAAAAGUAAAAGAUAAUUUAGAUGAUUGUAUUAAUGAGCUUGUUUAUGUCUUUGACAGGUCCAGGCAUGUGGCUCGUUGGUAACUGAAGAGUACCCGUUAGCCAUGCUGAUUCCAAUAGAGUUAUUUCUAAUGGGUUUCGGUUAUUGUAAGCAACCAAACUUUCCUUCUUCUUCAAGCAAUGGCCCAAACCCAACCAGCCCCUUGAACCACUCUUGCAUAGCACCUGAACUUCUCUCCCCUGAAAGUCUGGGAAUCAAGCUAAAACCCAUCAAAACUCGAGCAGAUAUCAACAUUUGACAGUGGAGCAAGUAUUCACCUGUGAAAGUACCUAUAAUACUACAGCCGCAAGAAGUGAAUAAUGUUCGAAGGGUUAGCAUAUUCUUUCAUUGUGUUGGCGGAUGUAUUCUUUCCCCAAGGAGAUCGAACCAGCAGAGUUGCUAUUUUUGAGUGUAGAUAACCUAUAGUACAUAGUAUAUCAUAGUUGAGAGUAGCUAGGCAUAUUCUUUAGAAAGGGAGGAUUCUUUUUCUGUAUUAUCUGAAAGUACGAACCGUACACAUUAUUACCACUUUUGCACUGAUGAUUUUUUUGCGGCAGCUUAGACUCAGAGACUGACCAAGAGAUUGAUAUUUGGACACACAUGUUGCUGCAAUAUCAUUUCGAAGAAGCAUUAAGAAUUAUGCAUUACAAAAUAAUGAAGUGGUAACAGUUUCAGAUUCUUGGGAUUACAUUAAGUGGAAUAGAAGAUACAAAGUAUAGGAACUACUUAAUUUGUUCAAUCUGAUUCUUGAAAGUUGAAAUGAUACAAAGCAAUUAAUGAAGAUGCGUGAAUGCUCUUGGAGCACCAAAGACUCUCUCUGAGCUAACAUGCCGUGAUCGAUGCCAAAUUUGCUUGAAGCCGUCCCUCCUCAAUUUGUGUAUCAUCGAUGCCAAAUUUGCUUGAAGCUGUCUCUCCUCAAUUUGUGCAUCUUCGAACAUUUUUUCAACCUGUCUAUCCAUAAAUUGAAUUUCUUUGAACAUUUUUUGAACCUCAAAUCUCUCCUUAAUCCAUGGAAGGUCAAGAUCACUGGCAGGUGCUUUCAUCAUUUUGUCUUGCUUCUUGGAGCUUGAACUUUUUCUACUUCUCUUCUUGUAGUCUCGGUAGUAACGAUAAUGAUCACAUAACUUCUGUUCAAGCUCUAGCUCUUGAACUUGAGUGUCUUUGAAAAUUUGAUCAACAUGUCUGUCCUUAAUUUGAAUUUCCUUGUAAAUUUGUUGAACCUCCUUAAUCUCUCUCUCUUUGUCUUUGUUGUUUAAUUGCAAUAACGGUAAUGGUGGGGCAGGUGACUUACGAACAACGGGCUCGCCAUUGUCCAAGAAAGAGUAAUCUCGAGAGUACUUGAGAUUUGCUAUUUUCUGGUUUCUUAUUAGGGCUUCGGCUUCAGAAUUAAUAUUGUUAGGCUUCUUCACUCUCACAUUCACUUUCCUGCUGCUUCUUGGCUUUCUGGGUAUGUGAAGAACAUCACUUGUUCUAAUGGCUUCCUCAACAGUACCACAUAAUGAAGGCCGCUUCAACGUUAUCUUAAUUUUCAUCACCAUUUUUAGGAUCUUUUUAAUUCUUCUUCCUCUGUUUCUAAUUUUGUUAAUAUGCAUUCUAUUAAUGAACCAUGGUUGUAUUUAUAGAGCUACGUUAAUUUUUUUCCUGACGCUACACGGAAACCUUUCCUAUUCUGAUCAGUAUUUACUUUAGUUUCCUAAUUGCAUAAGAAUUUGCAAUAUCGCGGUAACAGCAAAUAAUAAAAGAAAAAAGUUUCCAAUAAUUAAUUAAGCUACAAAAGAUAAAAACGAAAAUUAAAUUCUGUCCAAUUAAAUAAUUUAAAUUAAUUUAUCAAAGACAGCUUAAAUUUCACGUGCGUACGUGCACUGGAGGGCCAGUUUGGGAUUUGCCAGAAUUUAUAUAAGAUUUUGCUUAAAAUUCCACACGAAAAUAAAUUGAAAUAGAGCCAAGAUCAGGUUCACUUUAGAAAUUAAAUAGCGAUCAAAACCAUUGCUUGUCACCGAAGUAACAUGCACACAAACACAAAGACAUCAUGGAUUGGAUUGCAAUUAACUUCUUUGGAGAUAAUAGGAGUUAGUAGAGAAAUAAAAAAAAGUUACUAAUAGGUAGAUAUAAAGAGUAUUUAGAUGAACAUCCACAUUAAAUUUUAACAUUUUCAUUAUAUAAUUUCAUAAGAAUUUCAAAACUAGAAGGGAUCCUAACAUUUGGAAUUUAAGGUUGUGAGGUGGGUAAAAUCAACCAAUUUUUUUUAGAAUUUAAACUCGACUGGCCAGGUCCCUAAGGUCAAGUUACCAUUCAACUUGCAUAUGGUUUAAGUAAAACCGGGUAGAAAUAUUAGUAGAAAUAUUUGUUUAUUGUAGCCAAUUUGGAAACCGAGAUGUAACUACAGUUAUUCUCCUCAAGUUUGAGUUAAACACUGAUAUCAGAAUGCUAUGAAUCACACCCUUACGCCAAGAUUAGAAAUUUCGAUUGCCAAUUCACAAUGCAUAUAAUCACACACAUAAAUUGGAGCAAUUGCCACAUCCAAGUAUCAACUAAAAUGGCAAUACAUAACAACAAUACAGGAAAAGAGAUCGUAACAACCUCGGUAAGAGUUUGAUAAGAUUUUAUUACCUGGCAUAAAAAUCAAUUGUUAGGUUACCCCUUUCAAACGCCUUAACAUUAAAAUGACAUAAAUGAGUUAAAAAAAAAAUUAAAAUCAGGCUGCAUGCAUGUACGAAUACACAUCAAGGGGAUCUUGAAAAUCCCGGUGUCACGAGUUCAAAGCAUUGCAGAAUAUAUUCUAUGAGAAGAAAGCACAGAUUCCGGAUUAUAGUAUCUACAAAUUAAUCACUAUAAAGGGCGAACCUAUAACUCAGUAACACUUUGUUUAAAGCAAUGGGUAAUGAGGGUGGCGGACCAACUCCAAACAUUUACCAAACUAAUAUUAACAAACAAUCAAAAUAAUAACAAAGAUCACAACACAAUCAACUAUCUGCGAACAAAGAGCAUCACAUGAUUAUUCAAAAUACAAGUAUGUUCACAAUACACAAUACGCAAUUCAAUAUACAAGUGUAUGUUCACACGCCGCAAUACACAAUCUCUUGCACAACAAGCAACACAAGCAAACAUAUCAUACAUUAUUCAAAAGCAACGCCAUUAUUACCCAACCUUAAUCUGAAUCUUCCCCACAGAAACUGAUCAAGCAGUUUCCUUCUCAACAGCCUUCUUUGCAGUCUCAAGAUCCUCAUCAAAGAACAUAUCCCAACGCCCGUCCCACUUGAUGAAAAACUCAGUCUCUUCGUAAUACUUCACUCUAUGCACAUCGCCAGCCGGCGUAAACAAGUAAUCGCCAACAGUCAAAUCGAACCUUUCCCCUUUAGUCAAAUUCCACACACUCUUCUUCCCUUCCAGCACCACCAGAUCAUGCCCAAAUGUAUGGUGAUGCGCAGGCUCCACACUCCCGGCCUUAAACCUCACAAUGGCCGACGUUGGACUCUCCCUAACAAUCUUCAUUGAUCCACCCGGAAUCAUUUCCACAGGAUUCAAUUCCCUGUUCUUAACUAAGCAACAUAUGCUACAAGUACUGGUACUAGAAUCAUUAUCUAAUUUAUCAUUUUUACCAAUCAGGGGCAUUUCGAUCAUUGACUUGUCGAGAAAACACGACAAGUUCUCUUCCCAUGGCUUAAAACCCGACGCGGGGCAUGGGGCUUUAAAAGGGGUUUUAAGCCACGUGUCGAGGAUUUCGACGGCGGAUUCUUUGGAAGUGGACAUACCUGAGACGGCGAGGACGUUGCAGUUGUUGAUGGAGCGGGCGUUCAGGGCGUCGGCGGGAGUGAGACACGUGGCGGCGAAGACGCCGGGGUUUUUGUUGGCGAAGAUUGCGACGCCGACUCCGGUUCCGCAGGCGACGAGGCCACGUGUGGUGGUGUCGGAGGAAUCGGAGGAGGAGACGCCGCGGCCGACCUCGGCGCCGAUGGAGUAGUAAUCGGAGGUGCCGAGAUCUUCCACGUCUAUGUUGAGUGACCGGAGGUGGGAGACCAGAGCGUCUUUCAAUUCGGCGCCGAAGGAGUCGGCGCCUGCGAUGAUCUUGAGAGGGCUGGGAGCGGCAGCGGCGGCGUUUUCAGCCAUGGUUCACUACGAGUUGACUAUUCCGAGGGAUGAGUUCAGUGGAGAGUCAGUAAGUCUACAUUCUGGGCGAAUGGUGUGAUGUCAAUUAUCGAUUUUCAUGCAGAAAUGGAUAAUUUACUCCAUGUCCUUGUCGUUUCACCAAAUUUAAAAUAAUCAAAGAAAGGUUUAAAUCAAUCAAAAAAACUUUUCUUUGUGAAAUUCGCUAAAAAAUAGUGGCUUUUGUAAUGUUAUACCGAUUAUAUACUUAAAGUAACUCAUUAUCAUUAUCAAUAUUAAUUCAAUCAAAAUUUCUUUAUUUAUUCAUUUAUUAAUUUUAUAUCAAGUUAUUAAUCAAUCAAAAUGUGUAUAUUUGUUAAUUUCGUUAUAAUUAUUUUAAAAUAAAUCACUUAUUUUUGUUAGUAUUUAUAUACUCUAAAUGUAAGUAAGUUUUUUAAUUAUCAACAAUUACAUCAUAGCUUGAACAAAUAUAUAUAUAGUGGGUCAAACUUGUCUUUAACAUUGUUUAUAUUUUAAUUAGAGUGAUAAACUUGUCUUUAAUAGUGGGUCAAACUUGUUCGAGGGACUUAUUUGUUAAUUUCAUAAACAAUGAGUACCUACAUGUAAAUUUUCUUAUUACGUAAAAAUUAUUGUUUUAUAUAUUUUUUUUAUCAGAGAUAAAAAAAUAAGAGUAAAUUAAUUUUUUUUAUAAGAUCUUAUUAAAUUACAUUAUAAUAUAACUUACAUCAACCAUUAAUUUAUAAGUAGUGACUAAAAAUAAAACCAAUUAAAUUAUUUUUUUAGAUCACUAAUUAUAUCUUUUGAGUUAGUAUAAGUUACAUUAUAGGGUCCAGCUACUAUACCCAUGAGGUUUGGUACCCCAUUCUUUUGUCUUUUUCAAAUCCACCGUUGGAUUUAACGUGAGAGUUGAAUAAUGGUUAGAUGUGAUUAUUGGGUCAUUAGCAUUAAUUUACUAAUCAUAAUUGAUGAUAAAUAUAAAUAUGAUUUUUUUAAAUUUAAUACGGCAACCAAUUUUCUUUCACCCAUGUGAGCAGGGUUCAAACCCCAUAACCUUUUUUUUUUUUUUCAAGCAAUAAAUUUNNNNNNNNNNNNNNNNNNNNNNNNNNNNNNNNNNNNNNNAACUCUGCUGUACGGCCAAGGCGGAUGUACGGUACAGCAGUUUUUUCUCAAGCAAGAGAUUUUAUAUGUCAAGUAGAUGGAAUACACAAAAUACGAAAAUAAAUUUAAUUUCUGCUGUACGGCCAAGGCGGAUGUACGGUACAGCAGGGGCCCCCAGCUAUCACCCUUACUGUAGGCUACUCGCGCCUCAAGUUUCUGUCACUUUGCUCCCUUCACAUGUCGAGGCCACUAUCGGGAAAGUCCCAUCUAUAAAAUGGUCCAGGUACCGAUUUCUCACCAAAUCUUCAACCUGGGUCUUGAGAUCUCUGCAUUCUGCAGUUGUAUGGCCAUGAGUGCCAUGGAACUUACAAUAGCGUCCCCUAUCCCUCCUGCUGGGUAGCUUUGUUAUUGGGGCAGGGAGGUAACAUUAUAAUAUAACUUAACAACAUCUUUUUUAUAACACUGUGCUUAUUAUUGGCCUGACACUUUUCCGUAUUAAAAUUAUUGUUUCAAAUAAAGAAAUUGAAGUUAAUUUCAGAAAACAAUUUUUUUCAAAAAUUAAAAAACAAAUCCACAAAUUUCAAGGAUAAGCGGCGGAGGAUAAGAUCAGAAAUGGCGGGAACCGUUGGUUUGGGCUUGGGCAAACCCAUCAAAACGUUAAUCGCCGUUCGAUCCUGGGGAGUAUCGAUGACAUCAAACGCUGCUCAGGCACGGUGAACGGACGGCAACAAGAACACCAACAACAAAACUGCAACUCCCCAGUUUCUGGAAUUUGCAGUCAGUGGGGUCACUGAGCUUCUAAGGCUAUUCUCAUCCUUCGAUAAAGGCAGGUAAUUUACUUAUGAAGCUAUCAUCUCUGUUCUGUUUGGUUGCCAAGAAAAUGCCGGAAUACCCACCGGAAAGAUAAGGGAAAAUAUUGCAUAAUUGAUAAAAUUCAUCAGUUUAGUUUGCAUAUUUAAUAUUUUAUGUUUCGUUAGGUGUUUGCAGGUUGGAUAGAGUGAGUUAUAAACAAAAAGAUGAGAUUUUGGUUAAAUAAUUAAGCUACAAAAGAUAAAAACAAAAAUUAAAUUCUGCCCAAUUAAAUAAUUUAAAUAAAUUUAUCAAAGACAACUUAAAUUGCACGUGCGUACGUGCACUGGAGGGCCAGUUUGGGAUUUGUCAGAAUUUAUAAUAGAUUUUACUUAAAAUUCCGCACGAAAAUCAAUUGAAAUAGAGCCAAGAUCAGGUUCACUUUAGAAAUUAAAUAGCGAUCAAAACCAUUGCUUGCCCCCAAAGUAACAUGCACACCAACACAAAGACAUCAUGGAUUGGAUUACAAUUAACUUCAUUGGAGAUAAUAGGAAUUAGUAGAGAAAUAAAAAUGUUACUAAUAGGGAGAUACAAAGUGUAUUUAGAUGAACAUCCACAUUAAAUUUUAAUAUUUUCAUUACAUAAUUUCAUAAGAAUUUUGAAACUAGAAGGGAUCCUAACAUUUAGAAUUUAAUGUUAAGAGGUGGGUAAAAUCAACCAAUUUUUUUAAUCCAGGAGAAUUUAAACUCGACUGGCCAGCCAAAUAAUGUUGCUUGAAAUCCACUUGGCCAGGUCCCUAAUGUCAAGUUACCAUUCAACUUGCAUAUGGUUUAAGUAAAACUGGGAAGAAAUAUUAGUAGAAAUUUAUGGCUAAACAUGAUAUGUAGGGUAGAAACUAGUGUUUUUCUUAGAGCCAAUUUGGAAACAGAGAUGCUACUACAGUUAUUCUCCUUGAGUUUGAGUUAAACACUGAUAUCAAAAUGCAUAUGAAUUACACACUUGCGCCAAGAUUAGAAAUUUCGAUUGCCAAUUCACAAUGCAUAUUCACACACAUAAUUGGAGCAAUUGCCACAUAAGUAUCAACUAAAAUGGCAAUACAUAAUAAAAAUACAGGAAAAGAGAUCAUUACAAAUUCGGCAAGAGUUCGAUAAUAUUAUAUUACUUGGCCAAAAAACACUCAUUAGGUUUACAGCUUUCAAAUGCCUUAAAAUUAAAAUGACAUAAAUGAGUUUUUAAAUUUAAAAAAAAAAAAAAAAAAAAAAAAAAAAUCAGGCUGCAUGCACAUAGGAGUUCACAUUAAGGAGAUCUUGAAAAUCCCAAUGUCACAAGUUCAAAGUAUUGCAGAAUAUAUUUCACGAGAAGAAAGCAGAGACUCCAGAUUAUAGUAUCUACAAUUUAAACACUAUAAAGGGAGCACCUAUAACUCGGUUACAAUUUGUUCAAAGCAAUGGGAAAUGAGGGUGGCAGACAAACACUAAACAUGUAUCAAACUAACACGAACAAACAAUCAAAAUAAUAAUAACGAUCGCAACACAAUCAACAAUCUGAGAACAAAGAGCAUCAAGAUUAUCCAAAAUACAAGUAUAUUCACACUACGCGAUACACAAUUCAAUAUACAAGUUUGUUCAUACUACACAAUACACAAUUCAAUAUACGAGUAUGUUCAUACUUCACAAUACACAAUCUCUUGCACAACAAGCAAACAACUCAUACAUUAUUCAAAAGCAAACCCAUUAUUACCCAAACUUAAUCUGAAUCUUCCCCAUAGAAGCUGAUCAAGCAGUUUCCUUCUCAACCGCCUUCUUUGCAGCCUCAAGAUCCUCAUCAAAGAACAUAUCCCAACGCCCAUCCCACUUGAUGAAAAACUCAGUCUCUUCGUAAUACUUCACUCUAUGCACAUCACCAGCCGGUGUAAACAAGUAAUCCCCAACAGUCAAAUCAAACCUUUCCCCUUUAGUCAGAUUCCACACACUCUUCUUCCCUUGGAGCACCACCAGAUCAUGCCCAAAUGUAUGGUGAUGCGCGGGCUCCACACUCCCGGCCUUAAACCUCACAAUGGCCGAUGUCGGACUCUCCCUAAUAAUCUUCAUUGACCCACCGGGAAUCAUUUCCACAGGAUUCAAUUCCCUGUUCUUAACUAAACAACAUAUGCUACAAGUACUGCUACUAGAAUCACUAUCUAAUUUAUCAUUUUUACCAAUAAGGGGCAUUUCGGUCAUCGAUUUGUCGAAAAAACACGAUAUGUUCUCUUCCCAUGGCUUAAAACCCGACGCGGGGCAUGGGGCUUUAAAAGGGGUUUUAAGCCACGUGUCCAGGAUUUCGACGGCGGAUUCUUUGGAAGUGGACAUACCUGAGACGGCGAGGACGUUGCAGUUGUUGAUGGAGCGGGUGUUGAGGGCGUCGGCGGGAGUGAGACAUGUGGUGGCGAAGACGCCGGGGUUUUUGUUGGCGAAGAUUGCGACGCCGACUCCAGUUCCGCAGGCGACGAGGCCGCGUGUGGUGGUGUCGGACGAAUCGGAGGAGGAGACGCGGCGGCCGACCUCGGCGCCGAUGGAGUAGUAAUCGGAGGUGCCGAGAUCUUCCACGUCUAUGUUGAGUGACCGAAGGUGGGAGACCAAAGCGUCUUUCAAUUCAGCACCAAAGGAGUCGGCGCCGGCGAUGAUCUUGAGAGGGUGAGGAGCAGCGGCGGCAGCGUUUUCAGCCAUGGUUGACUAUGAGUUGACUAUUCUGAGGGAUAAGCUCAGUGGAGAGUCAGUUACUGAGUCUACUUUUUUGGGUGAAUGGUGGGAUAUCAAUUAUCGAUUUUUAUGCGGAAAUGGAUACUUUACACUAGGUCCUUGUCUUUUAAGAAAAUUUAAAAUUAUCAAACAAAAUUUUUAAAUCAAUUAAAAAAAAUUUCUUUUUGAAAUUCGCUAAAUAUAAUGGCUUUUGUGAAUGUUCAGCCUAUACUUAGGUAAUGUUAUAUACAUACAAUAACUAAUUUUUAUCAUUGUCAAUAUUAAUUUAAUCAAAUGUUCUUUUAUUUAUUCAUUUGUUAAUUUUAUAUCAAAUCAUUAAUCAAUCAAAAUGUUUACAUUUAUUAAUUUAGUUAUAAUUAUUUCAAAAUAAAUUACUUACUUUUAUAAUUAUUUACAUAUUCUAAAUGUAAGUAAGUUUUUUAAUUAUCAAUAAUUAAAUCAUAGCUUGAAUAAAUAUAUAUAUUUUUUCUUUUUCUCACCAGAGCGAUAAACUAGUCUUUUAAUAGUGGGUCAAACUUGUUCAAGGGACUUAUUUGUUAAGUUUGUAAACAAAGAGUACCUGCAUGUAAAUUGUCCAAUUAAGUAAAAAUUAUUGUUUUAUAUAAUUUUUUUUAUUAGAGGAAAAAAAUGAGAGAAAAUGAGAGUAAAUUAACAUUGUGCUUAUUAUUGGCCGGAUACAUUUCCGUAUUAAAAUUAUUGUUUCAAAUAAAGAAAUUAAUCUCGGAAAACAAUUUUUUAAAAAAAUUAAAAAAAAAUAUAUCCCACACAAAUGUCAAGGAUAAGCGGCGGAGGAUAAGAUCAGAAAUGGCGGGAAUCCAUUGGUUUGGGCAAACCCAUCAAAGCGUUAAUCGCCGUUCGAUCUUGGGGAGUAUCCAUGGCGUCAAAUGCUGCUCAGGCACGGUGAACGACGGCAACAAGAACACCAACAACAAAACUGCAACUCCCCAGAUUCUGAAAUUUGCAGUCAGUGGGGUCACUGAGCUUCUAAGGCUAUUCUCAUCCUUCGAUAAAGGCAGGUAAAUUACUUAUGAAGCUAUCAUCUCCGUUCUGUUUGGUUGCCAAGAAAAUGCUGGAAUACCCACUAGAAAGAUAAGGGAAAAUAUUGCAUAAUUGAUAAAAUUCAUCAGUCUAGUUUGCAUAUUUAAUAUUUUUUGUUUCUGUUAGGUGUUUGCAGGUUGGAUAAAGUGAGUUAUAAACAAAAAUAUGAGAUUUUGGUUUCGGGUAUUGAUGAUAUAGUAACCAUCCUGAGGUCUGAUUAUGAGAAUGCUUAUUUUGUCACAGGUAGCUACUAUUUGCAAUGUUUGAUUAUCAUAGUAUUUUGCUAAUAUUUGUAGCUAAUAAAAUUUUGUUUAUUUCCAAUGGAAAGGGAUUUUCACUUCUGAAAUUUAUGCUGAAGAUUGUAUCUUUGAAGAUCCUACUAUUAGAUUUCGAGGUGAGAAAAAUUUACUAUGUCCUUGACAUAAGAACUGUAGAAUUAGCUUUAAUUUGUUCUGUUAUGUUUACGUUUUAUGUCGUAUCUUUGUCAUUUAGUUCAAAGAUUGUGUUAUCCAACAUAAUGUGCCUAAAUUCAACUAAUUUUUAUGGUCUUUGGUUAUCCAGGUACAGAGUUGUAUUCUCGUAACUUGAGACUGCUUGUUCCUUUCUUUGAAUAUCCAUCAAUUGGAUUACAAAAUAUCGAGAAGGUAAGGUACUUUCUACGAAUUGAUAUUGUCUUUCAGUUAAUAAAUAUUAGUUGGAUAUGCACAUAAAUUCUGUUGAAUGAUUGUCCAAAAUGAUAUGCUAAAAUGCAAUUGGCUUCAUUUUUGCUGGUGCAUGACAAUUUGUUUUGGAUUAACCAUGAUUGGUCAAGUUAUGAGGUCAUCACCUUUGCUAAUGUCCUACUGAAAACAUGGCAGUGGAAACCAGUAGAAAAUGCUAGAAUUGAUGAGACAGAUUUGGUUUUGUCAUUGUUUCUGAGCAACUUUUGGGUGGAAAAUUUAAUCAAAUUUUCGGUAAUAUUUCAACAAUAUAGAGUAUCAUUACAAGGUUUCUUUGGGAAGAAGGGAGAAUUGGGCCAGAGAAACUUAGCUGUAAUUCAGAACUUUUAACUUGUAUGUAUGCAGGUAAUGCUGGCCUGGGCUUUCCAGCUGACUUUUUGCUCAUGCUGUUGAAAAUGACUAGACUUGACAAUUUAGUAGUUACAAUUCAAUGAAAUGCAAUAACUUUAAGAUAAAGGGGCUAGGAUUGUGAACGGCAUUAAAAAUAAAGUUUUAUGGCAUGUUGAGCACCCUGCCAGAUAUCAUAGGCAAUAUUCCUUUGUAAAUGAUUAUUAUAUAGGUUUCUUUUGGAUCAUUUUGGAACUAUAGUUGUUUGAAACCUGUAUUUUCAUGUACAUGGUGUGGUAUUUAAUCAUUGAUCACAUUACUCCCUAUUUUGAGUACAAAAUAUUUAUGACUUCAUAUACAGGGUUUCAACUCAGAGAGAAAUUUUGUGCUGGCUACAUGGAAACUAAGGUACUUCUACUGAGUAUACUGUCUUUUUUUCCUUGCACUUGGCAAAAUCGUACACAUCUGAAAUUUUAUAUUUGUCCACUGCUUGAAGUGAUGAUUAAAAUUUUUUUCAGUCUUUCUUUUGCUUCUUAUGGUGCAAAAUCCAGCGGCCAUUUGAAAGGUUGAUCAGCAUACAUUUGACUCGUGGCAGGACAUGAGGCUUCAUAAGAAACUUGUGUAACUUUGAAUGGUGGAUAGCCACUGAAUACUCACAACACUCAGUUUUGUAUUUUAUGUGUUUUUUGCGUAGGGAUAAACCCACUGGAUUUUUUUUAAAAAAAAGGUGCAAAAGAAAUAUAACUUUAUCAAUCAUAAAGUGGUGGUGAUCAUGCUUCAGAACUGUCUCCUUAAACAUCUUAGCCAGUAAAACCCAGUGGUGUAUUUAGCAUCUGUCCACCAUUCAAAAUGCCAAUGAAUUUUCCUGUAAAGCCUUAUGUAUGCCAUCUGUAAAAUGAUGGAUAUCAAACUUACAAAUGGACAGUGUUUUUGGAUUAUAAAUAUAGGCAUUGGCUUUGUAAACUGAUUCAUGCCAAAUAACUUUUAUAAAAGCUUGAGCAGUAAAAUAAAAGGAGCCCCUUCCCUUUCUCUAUAUUUUCUUUGCAGUACCUUCUCAUUUACUUGCUGUUUAUAUCCUUAAGUUAUUAUUUAUAACAUGCUAUAUAAGAGCCAGUAAUGUGCACCGAUUGAGUUGUCAAGAGAAAAAAAAUAUAUCAUUCAACACUCAAUUCUUCAAUUUAGGUAAACCUAAAGUUCAAAUGCCACAAGGAUUAUCUGUUAAUACAUAUGGUUAUUUUAAGUUGACUGUUCUAUAGGAGAUCAAUUUUUAUUCAAUAUAAUGUGUCUAAUUAGAUAUUAUGGAGAUGGAGCUACUUGAUAUGGUUUUGGUUGUGUGAGAACAUUGCAGUCAAUAUCAAUUAGUAUUUAAGUGCUUCACUGUUUUGAGGUGAAUUAGGCCUCUAUUUAAAAUUGGAAGAAUCUCCAUUAAUUAAAUUAAAGCUCUUAAAUUUGGCUCGGUGAUGCAGGAAUAUGUAAAUCUAAGUCACUAAUUAUAUAAAGGCUAAGAAGCCAUUUUUAGAUGCACGCCUUCCUGCUGAAAAAGCUCGCAUCCAGGCCAGAGUUUGUCUUUCUUGUGUCUUUAAAUGGUUGGAAGGAGAGAAGGGCGAGGAGGCUACAUUAUUCUACUCCCUUAGGGGGCUACAUUUUUCUACUGCCUUAUCUCCUACGAAGGAAAAACAUAUAUUUAUUGACGAGUAUGGGAUGUUUCUGAUACUGCCUCUUCAAUUUGUUAACCAAUUGCUAGUUUCUCUGAUUUGCAGAACCUACCUAAAACUUCCAUGGAAGCCUCUCAUCUCUAUUGAUGGAAGCACUGUGUAUGAACUAAAUGAUGAGUUUAAAGUAAGGAAGAAUCAAUGCUUCUCCACUCUUUUGUAUGUUUAAACUAAAGUAUUGCAUAUCACAAGUGCUGCUACUUACAGUUGCUUGUCUCUAUGAAUUUAACAGAUUACACGGCAUGCUGAGAGUUGGAAUGUUUCUGCACUUGAAGCAGUUGGCCAGAUAUUUACCCCUGGUGAUCAAAACUAGCAAGUCUCCUAAAAUACGAUGCCGCCCAAAUUCAUGUAUGGCUAAUAUCGUUCCCAUUGUUAAUUAGGACUGCCAGGAUAAAACUGAUAUGGUAAAAUAUGUAAAUCUUCAUACUCAUUGCUUUUAAUCUACAGGUCAGAGGACCACCUAACCAUCAUUCUGUAUGCAGAAAACUAACCUAAUACAUUCCAACUGUAAGCCAACAGGAUGCUCAUUUACUGGAAUAAAAUGCUCCCUGGGGAAUUAGAUUCUUGUAAAAGAGAUAUCUGUCAUGAGCUUGCUGUGUUCAUUGCUUAGAAGUAUGAUCAUCCUUUUUGGACAGAGUCAUGAACCGGCUAACUUUAUGGCCAACUAAGCAUUUCAUAGCUACUUUUAGGUUUAAUGACUUCCCGCAUCAAACUUAAAAGAUUUCUCUAAAGAUUGCUUUAGGUGAUCAAUUUUGAAAUACAUAGUGAUGGCUUACUCUUUACAUUAAAAUAGUGGAACCCCAGAUCAAAUAAUACUUAAAACUGCUAAACCCAUACUAUGUUCUUAUUAAAGCGCAGAUGCCUCUCAGUGUAAUGAUGAUAUGGGAUUACGGGGCACAUUGCCAUUAAAUAGAAAUAAGAAUGUUUUUGCUUUGUAAAGUGGCAAUGAGAGCUCCUCGUGUUAUGGCGCAGAAAGUCUACAACUUUUGCUAGAAAAGCAAAGUAAUAUUUUGGUCUAGUUUUUUUUCAAUACUUGUUUAUAUCAUUUGAUUGUUUAUUUGAGAAAUGAGAAUCCGAUGUGCUGGUAGUGGCAGUAUUUGUUGAGCAUGCGCGCAAUUGAUUGUGUAGUUUAUUGCUUUUAAAUUGUGUGGCAUUGUGGGCCCAAUCAAUAGGCGUUUGAACUUUUCUUGGCUUCUUAACAUUUCCUUCUCAGGGGUUUUUUGUGUGGAAAAAUUUUUGAUGAACUUCUAGACUUUGUACCUAUUUUUCGUGUAAGAUGCUGAAUUGUUUGACAAGUAAACGGACAAAUGGGUUGUUUUAAAUAGACUGGAUUGAAUUUUGAACUGUCCUUACAAAAUCUAGACCGUCUAGAUUUGUUCUUCUUGUUUCAUGACUUUUGAUUAUAAAAUUAUUUAGCUCAUAAUUUUAAUAUUCAUUUUAAAUCUCAAAUUUCAAAGGGUCUAACGCUUCAGUUCUAAGUGCCCCAUAACACACUUAAUUUCUUCAACAACUCCUCAAUUUGAAUUUGGGAGAGACUGCACUUUUACCUUCCUUCAAUAAUUUUAUCCAUUGCCCAAAUGCAUAUUUACAAGCAUCAAUCUCUGGAAAUUUAAUAAAAAUACAUCAUAAUCACAAAAUUUAAAGAAUCGUCUUGGAGAUCAGACAAUAUAUUAUAUAUCACCCAAAAAAAAAAUUGAUCAGGAAUCACAAAAAGAAAGCACAUUUUUCAUCCAAAAUGAACUUCUAGUAAUUGAUUUCAAUCCUUCCUCCAUGCAUACAACAACAAAGAGAACCCCCCAUUGCUCCCACAAGACCUAGUAGAUGAAGAACAUGAGCUUCUCCCACCAUCACUGCUCUCCUCCGCCCACUGCAACACACUAGAGCACGACGGCGACGGUGACAGUGAAGUGGACGGUGCCGAUGCUGACCCCAAGGAGGACAAGUUCUUCUUCAUCAGCCUCUUUUCAGGACCAACCAUCUCAGGCCAAACCCCACCUUCACCAAAUUGAAAAAUAAACACUCCAUGCCCAUUACCAGUACCAGCAGCAGCAGCAGAGCCAUUGUUGUUGAUCCAGUUGAAAACGUCCCAGAAGAAUUCUACUUCAAUGCCAUCAACAUAGAUUCUUUCAUGGCCUCUGAACUUCCAUGCAAGCCGUUUGAUAACAAGGCUUGUUUCACCAUCAACUUUAACUUUGAGCACACCGCCAUCACUACACUCAAUGCCAAUUUCAUGCUUGGAUCCCAAGAAAUGUGCCCUAGACAUGUAACUCUUGCGUCCAAACACAUGCUCUCUCCUUGACAACAGAGCAUGCUCUGCUACUUGGCGACUCAUGAUCAAUCCGGACCGUUUUACAAACUCUUCUUGAAGAUCGCCUAGGAAGAACUCUAGCCUUGCAUUGCAAGAAAUGGCAAUGUAAAAGCCAGAGUCAGGCUCAGCUGAGUUUUGGGUGAAUUGAGCCCUAGUGAAGUCCCAAUGGAGCUUGAUUCUUUGGUAAUGUUGUUGGGUUAAGUAGAUGGAUUUGGAGCCGGAGCCAGGCCGGCUCCGAAAGAAUGAUGAGAAGGUUGAAGGGUGGAGGGAGAUGGUGAGGGAGAAAGAGUCAGCUGCAUAGAUGGUUAAAGAAUGAGAGAAGAGAUUUUUAGACCAAGUGAGUGUGAGGUAAGUUGGGGACUUGCAUAUUUGAGUUUGGUAAAUGCAUGUAAUGAGAUUUUGAGGCACCUGAUGAUGAUGAUGAUGAGAGCUGCCGCUUGAUGAAACUGUGCUGGGAUGGCUAAAGCAUGCCGGAAUCAUAGUGUUCAAAUCUCAAUCUUCAAUCUAUUGUGUGUGUGGGCGUGUGGGUGCAUUCAAAAGCAUUUAGUAGGAGAAUUUGCAUGCGGGUUUGCUUACAGGGUUUGUGUGUGUUGAUGAGAUGGAAAAUGAAUGAGGAUUUUGGAGGCAUUUGACGUUGGUUUUUGUAUUGAUUGUUUUGAUGGGUAGUUUUUUCAAUUUUCUUUUAAAGAGAUGAUUUUCUAAUAUAAUCUGUAGGGGAAGAGGCAAUGAGGUGGGUGCUUUGAAUCUUGAAUGAUGAGGACACAAGGGGUUGAUUCAUCAUCACAAUCAUCAGCAGCAGUUGCAGUCUGCUCUUUUGGCACAAAGCCUUAAAGUUCAAUAUUCAUGUUUUCUCCCCUUGAUUUGCGCCUCUGACAUGGCUUUUUUCAAUGAAAAAAAAUAAUAUGCACUAAGCUUAGCUAGCUGUGUUGCACUUAGGAUGAGACUGCUUGUGUGUGUGAGUCACAAGUUUAGAGCCAUGACUCUCUCAUCUUCCAUUUUAUAUUACUUUAAAAAGGAGCUAACCCCCUUUUUUUCAAUAAUCACUUUGCCAUCUCAUCAAAAGGGAUUGGAGAAAUGGGAGAUGGGGCCUUGGAAAAAGAAGAGAGACUCAACCACUUUAUUUUGUAGGGUUCUUUUUAUUUUUCUAUUUCUUUUUUUUGCUUCACUUGGGCCAUCAAUUAGGUUUUAGAUUUAUGAACUUUUUGAGUAGUUUUCAUUUCUAGUUGGAUUAGCAUUGGAUGUGACUCUCAAAGGACUAUCCAAAUAAUCAUUUAGAUAACAAUCAACCUCAUACUUUUGUUUAAUAGUUCUUGAUACGAGUGGGGUUCGAAUUAUAAACGUAUUGUCUCAUCAUUCACAUUAAUCUUCAUUCAUACUUCUGUUCAAUAAUAAUCUUUAAUAUGAACGGGAUUCAAAUUCUAGAUUUAUUGUAUCGUCAUUGAAAAAAAAAUAUAUAUAUUUGUAAUUAACUAGCACCCACAUUAGCUUUCUUUUGUUUGUUUAUAUAGGUAACAAGUGCAACGAAGUCUUCAUUCAAAUUAAAUUAAAAUUGAAUUUCCUCUUUUAGUCUUUUGGUCCUUUAUUUAUUAUUUUCUGAAGUCCGAAGUCACAAGUAAAUAUUGAAAUUAACUGCAGCAUUGCCCGCCAGAUACUUUUGGACUUUUUUAAUGAAUUAAUUUUAUUUCCAACUUGUCUAACAAGUAACAAUCCUUUGGCUAGACUCUGCACGAUUUUGCUUACGACAUGCCAAUUUGGCUCAAAGCAUAUGAAUGAUUCGUCGGUUAUUUUUAAUUCAAAUAAAGUUGGACCUACACAAGUAUGGAUCAUUUUCAGGCUUAGAAUACUGUUCAUGCCGUGUGCCUUCAGCAAAUUCUGAACUCUGAACAGUCAAACUUGCCUACGAGACAAUAUAUGAAUGCAACGCAUGCUCAAAGCUAAAGAAUUUAUUUCUUAUUUCCAAUUAGUUUUCUCUUUUUCAUUGAAGUUCUUUAUGACUUUAAAGACUCUUUCUGAUUUUCAAGGCUCAAAACUCUUGUUGAGAACCAAACAAUUAAAAACUUUUUCUUUUUCUUUUUUUCUGGGUUGGAAGUUUUGCUUGUAAUAGUCCUAUUAAUUAUGGAUUUAUUUGAAGAAAAUGUAUUCGUAAAAGUUAUAUUAGGUAGUCAAUUUAGAAUUGUAAGGACUGAUAAAUAAGUUAUUUAUGCUGUGUGGAUAAAAUAAGUUGUUAAAUUAAAAAGUUACCUGAUUUUUGAUAAAUUGUGGUGUUGUGAUUGUUGUGGGUUUCAUAAUAUUGUACACGCUUUUGAAAAAUUUUACUACGAAAAUAUUGUUUUAUUAUAUAACAUCUAAAUAUACACACAAGUUUAAAUUGUCUCCUAUUUGUAUAAUAGGGUUUUAAAAAAAUAAGACAUAAUUUUUUUUUUUACUAAAAUAUCAAGAUUAUAUUUAUCAAGAUCAGUUUCUCUCAUUUGACUUGUUUUGAUAUGCAUGUCAUCGUGAUGAAUUAGUCGCUCUUCAAAUAAUUUCAAAUGUUGUGGGUUGGUGGUUAGACGGACAGAUCUCACUAAAUUGAUGCCCAAAAUUAAAUUAUUUGAACAUGUGCUUUACUAGAAAAAUGCAAAUAUGUACACUCACAAACAACCUAUUUAACUAAACAAUUCAUUUGUAUAUAAAUAUGCAUAGCAUAUACUAAAGAAAUAAGAUGAAAAUCUAAGCAUUGGUGAAACCUGCCGUUACUUGUUUGUUUAAUCAAACAAGUGGUAUAGGCAGCUAACGAUGAAUUCACGAGUGUUCAUCACUUUAGGAAUUAUGAGUGUAUGAAAUUUUUAUGUUCUAUUCAUAUAUAGAUGUAAUAUUUAUUUAUUUAUUCAUUCUUUUGGGUUUAAAUCUUACAUACAUUUCCAUGAAAUUCUUAAGCUACUUGGUAUACAGCGAUAUUAAUGUUCAUUUGAUUUUUGAAGGUCGUUUGAAUAUUUUUUAUAAGAUGAUUCAUCGAAUUUUCAAGUCUUUUUAACUUCUGACAAACCUAUUUUCCUAUUUAGUUUCAAUCAAAUAACUAAAUAGUUUUAUUAAGUUGUCAAUCUUAAAUUUAGAAUAAUUAUCGGAUAUUUUAAGCAAUUGUACUUAGAUCUAAGGUUUAUAGGGCUUUCAUGCCACCAAAAUAGAAAGAAGUGAAAAAAGAAUUGCUUGAAAUAGAAGUUUUUCAUCUUUUUCGGUAUUUCCUAUUUAGUGGGAUUAGAUAAAAUCAUUUUUAGUUAUAUGUCAAUUUUUAUUUCUUUUUCUAAUUUUCUCAAUUUUUAUUUCUUUUUCUAAUUUUCUCUUUGAUGGAAAAUUAUUUUUUACCCUUAAUGAAUUACUAACAAACGACAUUCAACUAACGAUAAGUUAACGAAAUGAUGUUUUGGGUUAUUUUUUAAAAAGUAAGGAUGAAAUUGGUUAUUACACGAAACCCUAGGGAUGUGAAGGGCUUUUUCCUGAUGAAAUAUGAUGAGGAAAAUAAUUUUUAAAUAUUUAAGGAACAGUCUUCUUGUUGUAGAUAUAUAGAAAAUGUGUCACUAGUUUGAAUUGUACAUUCAUUGACAGGUUAUUAUGUUCCAUUCAAGAUACUUAGUGAAAAAAGAAUAAAAGGUUUGGUGGAUUCCCAAUGAAUUAGUUUUAACUUUUCAGUUCCCAUUUUCCUUAGUGUUUGUUACGUAACCAAGAUAUUAGAGUCUAAAAAAGGUAGUAGGGUAGAGUUUUCUUUUAUCUUAUACAAUAAUAUCUAAUUCAUAAAAUUUUGAUGAAAUUAGGUAUUUGAAGGACACGUCUUCUAGCUAUGUAUUCUUAGUACGAUAUGUCGUAUUGGCAUUAGAUGGUAAACGAAAUGUCCGGCAGAGUAUGCGCGAGUAUAUCCUCUGUAGGACUUGUCAUCCAUUAUUUUUAUAGAGAUGACAUGUCGUUGAUUAAUAUUAUUAUUGAAAGUCAUGUCGUCUUUAAAUUUUUGACAUAAACAGCAUGUCAUUAAUUAUUUUUGUUGAAUAUGUAAAACCAACUUGAGAUAAUUAGUUAUUUUAAUUUUAUGACAAUUUUAAAUUUAUACUUAUUUGGGUUUAGAUCUGGAUUAGAAAGGGAUUGUUAAUUUAUUAUCUCUUAAUAUUUUGAUAUCUAAUUUUCAAUAAAAAUCCUCUUUUUUUUUCCUACUAGAUUGUUUAUUUCUAUGUGGGCAAGAAUUCAGACAAAUAUCCUUUUAAGGACUUAACAACCUAGAAUAAAACUCUGAAGAUAAGUUAUCAUAUUUAUUUUUAAGUAAUCCUACACUUGCUAUCGUACCUGAUGUGUCAUUAAUAGAAUUUCAUCAUUUAGAUAUUAUAUAUAAAUCUUGAGGAGAGAAGAAUUGCCUGACCUUGGCAGUUUUAAUUUUUUGCUAAUUUUUAUUAACUGAUUACUUUACUUUUUAAGUUUAUGAUUAUAUACAAAAAUAUAGAAUAACAUAUAGUCUUUAAAUUUCCUUUAUUUUGAGUCAGUUAUUUCAUUUUUUUUUAUAAUUUGAGUUUACUUAUAUUUGGAUCCGAAUAGGGCUAUAAUCUAAAAAGAAAUGUUGAUAUUUUCAAUAAAUUCUUUUUUUUUUAAAUUUUAUUUCUCUACAAAAAUCCAGACAAUCAGGUUGUGCUCUUAAUCAAGUGAUAAACUAAUCCAGCGGAACAAAUUAUAUGAUCAAAUUUUAUUGUUAUAAUAUGAUACCAAAACUCUUUACCACAAACAAAAAAACUUUUAAAAAAGUUAGUGCAUAGAAGAGAUUCGGGCUUCCCCUUUUAUGAAGCCCAACGUUACGUGAAAAACUAUAACUAAUUGAAAUCCGUUGCAAGAGAAUAAAAAGAUCAAGUAAAACUAAUUUCACAUCGUGAGUCGUGACUAAUGGAUUCGUCCUCAAGCUAAUGGAUUCACUCACUCAGAGCAGAUUUGUUUUUGUCUCGUAUCAAUUCUAAUCACUCUCCUAGAGUGGAUUUGUUUUUGUCUCAUGCAUAUCAAUUAAAAAAAAAAAAAAUUAAGGGGCAUUUCUUUGUGGCUGACAUUUUUGCAUCAUUCGAAAAAUAUUAUUGGAUAUUGGCAAUGAUUUUGUUGGUGUAAUUUCCCACAUUUGAGGUUGCUUUAUGUUGCUCAAUUUUUAAACACACCUUUGACAAACCCCGGUUUCUUAGCUAAAGACCAAAGCUUCAAUUUUCAAGAUCAAUUUAACUUUGGGAUCAAACACGAUUCAUGCACAUACCCAAAAAUAUGAAAAAUCGUCAAUUAAAUUCCUCAAAUCGAUACAAAAUUAUAAAAUUAUACAUAUCUUUUAGGGUAAAAUUAUGGUACUACAGUAGUACCAUAUCAUAGCUGGAUCCAGCCAUUGGAUCCAGCUCACAGUGAUCCCCAUAACUAGAUCCAAUGGCUGGAUCUAUUUGUGAUAUGAUCCCAUAACUGGACCUUAUCUUCUAAUAUAUAAUAACAAAAAAAGAAAAUUCAUCACAAUUUAUUUUUUUUUUUUGCGCAGGAACAAAAAUUUUAAACAACAAAUUGAUAAUUUAAAAACUAUCCUUUCUGAUAAUUGAAACCUGAACCCCCAAAAUAUUUUUAUUUACUACUAUAAAUACUAAAUUAAAAGGGGGGGGGGGGGGAGNNNNNNNNNNNNNNNNNNNNNNNNNNNNNNNNNNNNNNGGGGGGGGGGGGGAGAAUUUUGAUUUACUUUGUGGCAGAUUCGUGUUGAACAGCCUUGUUAAGCAAGCUAUCUUGAUCCAAAGCCACCAGAACAAGAGAAUCACCGAUGCCUCGCGCCAUGGCGAGCAUGAUCUCCUCCAUCAGAGACCUGAACUCGCUGCGGUCGAUAUUCCCAUUACGAUCCUCAUCGAACCUCUCGAAGAUGUUGUUAUAAAGACGAUCGAUCUCUUCUAUAGGCUGAGCCUCGUCUUCCAUGUCGAAGAACCUGUGAAACCUCUCGCGCAACGUGCUACGCGAAAGCCCUCCGUUUUUAACGAAAUCAAGCUUUUCGAAGCAUUCGUCGACGCAGUUCUCGAACUUGGCUUUAUCGUCGACAAAUUUCGUCACCGUAGAGCCAUUAAGAACAGCGAUACUCAUCCUUUUUUCUCCCUAUUCUUCUGUAGACAAUUGAAUUGGUUGAAAAUUUUCGUAAAAAAAUUAUUUUAUAUAUAUAGUGGCAUUAGCCCCAAAAAUAGUUGACUACUAAGCAUUGAUGGGGCUUUAAUUUAGAGGGUUCCUUCUACUGUUUGUGGUUAAUUUGAAAAUUGGUGGAGCCGAAAGCGUCUAAAAAUUUAUGCUGUUGGAAACGUUUAUCAUAGCUUUUCGAUGGUGUGGCCAUGAUUUUAGCAUUUGUAUACGAAUAAGUUCUUCUUGCAUGCAUGAAUCACUUUCUUCAAGUCACACUUUUUACGAACGACCCAGUCGAUACAAAACACUGAUGUGUUAUGCAUGACCUUUGGCAUCUUAUUAUUUAUUAAUUAUUUGUUUCAAGAAAAGAAAGGGGGAAAGAUUGGCAAAAUAGUUGCCUAUAAUUGUUAUUUGCAUGUAUAAUCAAAUGAAAAAUUAGCUUACCGAAAAAAAAGAGGUAUCACUAUUCGUUUGUGUUAUGAUUUAGGAGAUUAGAGGAAACUAAAAUAUUUAUAAUUGAAUAUCUCAGCUGACACAAGGUUCAGGCAAACUAUACCCCGCAGCCUUGUCGAGGAUGGAAAUGUGUUAUCUUUAAUAUGGAAAUGUGUUUCUUUAAUUUGAGCCACAUGAAUUAAAAAAAAAUAAACCGUCAAAAUUGAAGAAUAAAUUUCAUUUGUUAAUUCCUUAAAAUUGAAGAAUAAAUUUCAUUUGUUAAUUCAAUAAAAUAGUAAAAUCAUCUAUGAAUGAUAAUAAACCUUUAAUUGAAUUUUAUUUUAACUAUGUUAUUUUGCGAUGAAGAUUAAAUUAAUCAUAACUUGGUUCAAAAUAUUAUUCGACAUUGUAUUGGGUACUUUUUCAAAAUCAUAACUUGGUUCAAUAUGAAUUGGGCUUUUCUGUUGCAGAUGGAUACAUACACGAAGGCCCAAGAUGAUCCGAUGACAAAAUAUUAAUAAAACAUCAGUUCUCACUUACCCAAACGACGUGUUUUUUUAAAUUAAAAUUGAAUCACAACAAUUACACAAAUACAAAUAUCUUGCCGUGAACAUCUAGGUUUCUAAUAUUUGUGCACCAAAAAAAAGAAAAAGAAAAGAGAAAGAGAGAAGAAGAAGAAGAAAGAAACGUGCUGUUAGGCAAGUAGAGGAUUGAUGAAAGAGAACUAAACCUAAGCAAAUAGUGUGAACAAUCACAUAGCUAGAUAGAGAGCAUUGGAUCCCACUUGUGUUGUUUGUAAUCGUACUCCAUGUGCACCUUUUGAUUAUCAAUGCAUCCUAACUUCCAAACACCACACAUGCUCAUGCUUAAAUUAUCUUCAUCCAUCAUCUACAUGUGGAUUUGUUUUAAAAAAAAAAAAAAAAUUAGAACAUGAAUAAGGAGAUCUUGCCUUGCGAUAUUGAGAUGAGGUUCAUUUUCAUAAACUUGAAACUUGUAAUUUCAGAUAUCAAAUUUGUAAUCUUCAACAUGCUAAUAUGAUCAAUGCUGUUAAAAUUAUCAACAUGCUAAUCGGGUGUAUAUACUGCUCUAGAAACCCUAGUUUGAAGAAAACGUUUGAUAGGAAAGAUCAAAGAGAAUUGAUAAAGACUUGUGACCUAAUUACCGUAUAUUCUUAUGCAAGUAAAAUGCACGAGCAAUUAUUAAUAGCUAGAAAUGAAGGGAAAAAAAUAAAAUAAAAUUUGAAAAGCGUCGGUGUCAACUGCAAUAGCAAGUCCACGGCACAAGUCCAUCGUUGAAAGUUGAAACCGAGAUUUAAUUAAUACUAUUUAUACGAAUGAAUUUAUAUAUAUAUAUAUAAUCCGGUCAAAUGUUUGAUGUGUUAAUCAUUGAACGCGUUACUCCACUGCGAAUAGUUAAUUUCAUUGGCUUUUUGAAUUAGUCAUGAUAAUGGCCGUAAUUGAGUGAAAGAAGAAAGCAACUGCUUUAUUAUUUACUUAAAUAAUUAUCACAUUGUAAUAGAAGGAUCUCAUGUGUGUUAGCCUGGCAAAACGAAAUAAAUCACCUUGUUGUUUAACGCGUUAACAUUGUUUUUGAAGAAUAUAAAUUCACGACUCCGAAAAUUUUAAAUUAAUACACAAGUGUUUAUAAAUAUUGAAAGCAUGAAAAAUUCUUUGAAAUUGCGUGUAUGUGUGUCUAUCUAUAUAUAUAUAUAAAGUCUAUUUAAAAAAAGGCAAACAAUCUUAUUUAAAUAAAUUGUAAGUUUAAUUAAAUAUAUACACAAAUAUAUUAUUCAAACAUGGAUGAGAUUAAUUCAAUUUAUAAGACGAUUUUGAGACAGUACGAGAAUCUCACUCGUAUUAGGGUUCGAGGAGAGUUUAGCACUUUAAGGUUAGAAUCUAACUAAUACAAAUAAUAAUAUUAGUAGGAGGAAUUAAUUACUUUUAUUUAUUUAUUGUUUAAAAAACUACAUCAAUCAUGUUAAGUGCUAAAUUACCGGUUAAAAAUAUUAAACUAAUUACAAAACAAGUUACAUUAGAAGCUAAUGGUGUCGUGUUAAUCCACGCACGUGUGUGAUGCUUUGGCUUAAUCUUCAUCUAAAAUUAAUUAAUUUAAUCAUCACUAUCGUUGCACCCCAUGAAGCAGUCUCCAAUAUUAAAAAAAUGAGUAAUGAUACAGUCACAAACUCUUGUACAAAUUUAUUUUGUACAAACUGAUGUGGCAUUAAUUUAUUGGUGGAAUGAAAUAUAAAAUAAUAAAAACAAAUCAUGUGGGCCAAGUGAUAUUUAAUUCAACCAAUCUUAUCAUGCCACAUCAAUUUGUACAAAAUAAGUUUGUACAAGAGUUUGUGGCUAUAUCAUUACUCUCAAAAAAUAAGUAAGUUCUGAUUAACAUUUUUUUUAAAAGCAUUAAAAUAUAAUUAGUCUUUUGUUUUUACACGAAUUUAUUUAACCCAAAAGGAAAGUUUAAUUAACUGUAGUAGUUUGGAGUAUCCUAAGAACUUGUUUGGCGAUGUCCUUCGAUUUGGGAUCACGCUUUUGUAUAUUAUUGACUCCUGUGUACGGCAUUCACGGAAUCAAAUGCAACUGGUCAAACAAGGAAUUAUAUUCCAACACAUCAUCAUGUAUAAUCAUUAUUAAUAAUCCUCUAAUUCUUCAUUUAAGAAAGCUAAAAAAGUCAUGUACUAUUUAACAAAACCAAAAUAAGAAACUUUAGUAAUUUUAUAUGAUUUAUUGAACAAAUUUACCCCAGUUAGAAUAGAAAACCUAAUCUAAAACAGAACAGAACAGAAAAAUUAUCGAAAUUAGUUUGCAUUUUGACUAAAUGAUUUUUUUUUUCAAGAAUUUUACUCAAUUCUUUUUUUUUUUUUUCCAUUUUAAACGUAGGUUAUUAAAUCCCCAAGAGGCGAGAGGGCUGAAUUGAUCCAUAAUUUAUGUUUCAUUAAUUCAUCGUGAAUCACGAUAUUCAAAUAAGGAAGCACGGAGGGCAUUUCCCACAAAGAAUUGUUGGACGACUUAGAAUUCAUUUAUCACGAUUCACGAUAUACACAUCAAAUCAAAUCAAAAUCCAUUAAUUGCUACAGAAAACGGACUUUCAAAAAAGUGCUUAAAGAAAAAGCUAAGCUAGGUUAUGAAUUUAUUUCAAAGGACCCCCAAACAAGACCUUGAGCUCCACGGAUAAGUCUUUGCCAUGUUAGCGGCGACGGGUGCAUACGACACAUCGUUAUCAAUUUAUUAAGACUCCACGUUCUGUACAGAAGCUUAAUCAGCUGAGAAAGCUAAAGCUAGCUGCAACGACUUAAUUGAUUGGAGAGGAUGCCCCACCAAACAAACAAAUCCUUACCAUAAAUUGCUGUCUAAGGGAAGUGCUUUCGGCCGUGAAUGAAUAAGUCCAGUUAGAGAGACAAAGUUUCGGGAUCAUGAUUUGGGCUUUCUUGUGCAUGGAGAUUUUUUUUUCUUUUUCUUUUUUUUUUCCAAAAACCAUGCAAAUUAAAUUGUUACGAGUGUAAGCCUAACCUCCACUCUCGACACAUGGCCAGCUGGCUAUUUGUUUUCAUUUUGUUUUCCUUUUAGGGACAUUUAAACUAGAUUUUAUACACAUUAAUGCUUGGAAAAUCUUACAUUUUUCCAUUUUAAUUAUCCGUAUGUACUAUAUAUGUUAACAAAAUAUCUCUCUUUCAGAUCUUCGUACUUUACAAAGAUAUAUUCGAAAAAUAUAACGGUGACUUCUUUAAUUUGUUGUAAAAUUGCGAAGCUCAUUAAUCUAACUCAUCGUAGAUUAUUUUUAACUGAUAUAAGAUUACCCCCUUAACAAAAAUAAUGUGGUAUUGUUCGACGAUGUAUUUUAUAAACUUUGAACAUCUAAAAAAAAAAAAGAAGAACUAUAUAUAGCGAUAAAUUAUUUUGACAAAAUAAUUAAAGAAGUGAAUACAUAUUAUAUUCCAAAAUUUUCUUGAACUUUUUUAAUUAUGAAUGGAAAACCAAUCCAUGACAAAAUAAUAACAUUUCUUAAAAGCCAUUUGUAAGAUCUUCAUUUUAUGUUUUAAAAAUAUUAUUUAUAAAAGUAAGAAAACAAUGUAGUAGCAUUUAUUACUUUUUUUUUUGGAGAUCAAGAUUCUGUCAUGAUCUAAUACUUUAUUUAAGCUAGUAAAUUUAUAUAUUGGUGGUUAAUACAUGAGAAUAUAAAAAUUGAGUAAAUUUUGAUUAUACAUAAAUAAAAGUAUAUAUGUGUUAAAAGAUCUCAAAUGUGAUGAGAGGAUGUUUAUUGAAUAUUAUUAGCCAUGGUAAGAUCCAAAAUUAAUAAUUAAUAAUUACUAAUAAACUAUUUCAUCAAGUAACUUUUGAACACACCCAUGACCCCCCUUGAUCGCUUUAUUUGCUUUCCACUACUUAUUUUUCCUCCUCCUCAAUCACGUCUUUACUCUACUUUGAUACCAAAGUAAGGGAGAUGAACUCAUGACUUUGAUUAAAUCUUUUGUACGGAAUGUGUAAAAUUUCAACUUUCAACAACACAUAUUCUCUUUUUUUUUCUCUUUUUUUUUUUUUUUUUUUGUCUUUCACACGUAAUUUCUUCGUGCAAGAAUUUCAAGCAGAUCUCACUUUUUAAAAAAAAAAAAACUUUUUAAUAUUCUUUAUACACGUGUGAUUAAUUGCAAAACAUCGUUGAAAUGCUACCAAGUUAAACAACGUCAAAAGUUUAAGUCGAUUUGAUUUUUUGGGGAAAAUUUUGGACAUAUUAUAUAAUUCGGUGUCAAUUACAAGUAAUUGGUAAUGUUGCCAAUUUUUUAUUUUUUAUUUUUAUUUGAAAUUAAUUCUUUUGACAAUUAUCAAAGUUGCAUGGAGCAUGCAAAUCAGGAACUCUUCUUCUAACAAAGCACGUGCGCUCACACGUCACCCAUGAUACUUGUCUUGUCUAUGGACUAUGGUCCACGGUGUGUGAUUAAAAAACUUACCCUUAUCUAUUCUGAAUUUGAUCAAAGGUAAACAAGAAACUCCUUUUAGAUUUUUCCCCCUUUCGACUUUAAAUUCGUUUUUAAUUCUUUAAAAUGAUUUAAGAUGAUUUUAAAAACAAUCACUUUUUUAUGUAUCAACCCAACUUCUAUGCAUAUAAUAAUCCUAAAAGUUACAAUGAUUCAUAUAUGAUUUUUAGUUUACUCAAAUUAGGUCCGUUUUGAGAGAGACUGACUAUAUUAUAACCGUAAUUAAUUCCCAAUGAGAUGCCAUUGUAUUUUAUUUAUUACAAUAAUUGCAUCUCAUGGACAUUAUUACUGUGAGGUUUUAUCAAAUCAACCAACAACGAUACCAUGGAAAGUCUUAGGUCAAAUAAUGCGGUUAAGGUAUUUUCAGUUAUUGGUAACAAUUUUUUUUUAUAAAAAUAACUCAUGCAUUCACGAAAUAAGCGUGGACUAAACAGGUGAUAAUUAAAACAUGUGGUGUGGUUUCAUUAAUAAGCGUGUAAUAAGCUUUUCUACCUAACAUAUAUUUUUUUUCACGAAUUAAGUAGAAACAAUAGCCCUUGAUGAGAGAGGGAUGUUUCAAAAGACAGAAAGAUAUCGAAAAAGAUGAUUGGUUUAAUUUUGAGGUAGCAAAGAAUUAAUCAAGUCGAUAAAAGAGAGAACACAUACAAUUUCUAUAAUUGUGUAGUUAGGUCAUUUAAGUGUACGAUCGACAGCACCUGACUUCUUAGGCGGUGUUUGGUUUUAAGAAAGGGGAGGAGAGGAAAAGAGUAGAAUGGAGGGGAAAGGAGAAGAGAGGAGUGGAAUAGAAUAGUGAAAUUAAAUUUCAUUGUUUGGUUUGACAUAAAAUUUGAUAGGGAAAAGAAUUACAAUUUUUUUCUUUGCACAAAUUUAUCAUUUACCUUAAAUACUAAAUUAUCUUAUUACUAAUAAAAUAUAACUUAAUAUUAAUACCAAACUUUUUUAAUUUCAAAAAGUUCCAAAACAAUUCAUGAUUUAUAUUUAUAUUUAAUAUAAAAUAAUUUAAUAUACUAAACUAUUUGGUUGAAGGGCAAUUUUGAAAUGUUGGGUUUUCAACAUAAGAAGAAUUUAAAUUCUUCACUCUUUGAUGUGGAAUUCAAAUUUUACAUUAUAAGAGAUAUUAAAUUCUAAUAGAAAUUAAAUUAUUAUAUAUUUUGUGCAACCAAAUAAUGUAAAUAAAAGUAGAAUUUGAAUUACUUUCCUCUUCCACAUUCUCUCCUCCCAACCAAACAUCACCUUAGUACAUUUACAUUUCUCUGAACCACACAUUUAUUGGUAUUCUUUAAUCAAAGUUUCUUUAUCAGUUAUCAUUAAUAAAAUUUCUAACUGUUCGACUAACUGAUUUCGGUAAUUAGUGAAUGAUCACGAUUUCUCUUUAGAAAUUGUCAUCCCUGUGAAAAUUUAUGAAUUAAUAUUAUAAGCAAAUGAAUUAGAAAAUAGACACAGUAAAUAUAAUGAAAGGGUUGGAUUUAGUUUAGUGGUAAAUUUGAGUUAAUUCCUCGGGGUGGGUAGAUCUAAGCCGAGACCGAAAAAAUAAUCGUUUCAAUUUAAUUUUUUUUUUAGUUCUGAUUGGUUUAUUCCUUCGUUAUAACUAAAGAAAAUCAGUUCGAUUUUUGGUUCUUAAUCUUAGAACCAAAAAAUUUGAUUUUUUUUUUUUUUUUUGUAAUUCUACAGGUUCAACAUAUGUCGUGUUUUCGUUGGUAGGUUAAAAAGUCAAUAAACCAAAAUAAAAAACCAAAAUGCUGAACCAAUUGAUUCCAUAUUUAGGUUUUUAUUUAUUUAUUUUUUUGUUCCUUAAAAAAAAACAAUUGAUGUGAAUCAAAGCAAUUCAAUUUGGUCCAAUCUAAAAACCGAACCGUGCUCACCCUUGAUUCUCUUUUAGUCUUUAAGGUUAAAAAUAACGUGAAAUAUCUUUAUCCUUACUUAUGUUAGUGUUGAAUGUUAUAUUUUAAAGAUUGAAAAACUACUUUUCGAUGAAAAAUAGAAAACAUUAACAUUUAACAAUAAUAUAAAUAAAGAUCAAAAUAUGUUAAAUUAUUUGUAAAAUAGGAGAAUCAAUUUGAAAUUGUUAAAAAAAAAAAUUACCCACCAAAAUUUUUUGCACAUACAUUUUUUAAUGUGUAAUAGUUCAUCUGAAUUGUAUGGAUUACAAAUAAUCCGUUAUUUUUCUAAUAAGAUAAACUCUCCAACACACUAUUAAUUAAAAAAAAAAUCAAUAGAAUAAAACUCUUAACCAAAAGGAUUAAUUGCACAAUCUAAUAUAUAGUAAAAGGUCAAAUCGUCCUCCUUUAUAAAUGAUGAUUUUAAUUUUAUUUCUUUGAAAAUAAAUUCAGGAAGCUUCAUUAAUCCUUAGCCUUCAAUAAUCCAUAUUCAAAUGAUUCUGAUUAGGGUCUUGCUUUGUGAUUUUCUCAAAUUGCAAGCCCGCAGGUUUCAAUUUUAUAUAAGGCCUCGCCUGCUUGCUUUGAAUUGUCAAAAUAAAACUAAAUAAAGCAGAAUGAGUCUUGCCUGCAUCUUUACUUUAUUUUGGGGGGGAAAAAUCUCACAGAAUUAGUAUAAUGCAUUGACUGAAAAUAAAGAAAAAAACAAAAAGAAUCUCUUCAAAAGCCUUCAGAUUUUGGCAUAUAAUAUUAAUGCAUUGGUUGAAAUUUUAAUAAGCUUUCCAAGAUUCCUGCAAUAAGGGCCCUUUCAUCAUCUUAAUUGUCUGCCAAAAUGUAUUAUCGAUCAGUAGGACGGCAUGAUGACAAUUAUUUCUAAAUAAUUAAUCUUAGUUUAUAUAUUUAACUCCCCAAAUGUGUUUUUGGUGGUGUAAAAAAACAUUUUGAAACAUAGUAAUUAAAUGCAUAUUCUUGAUCUUUCAUAAAAGUAAGGGAUUUAUGUAAUUUAUAGGCUCCUACCAAUCUUAGUGUGCUCUGUUGGUUUGACUUAUUAAACAAUCAUAAAAAUUUAUUUAAUUUCAUAAACACUUUUUAAUAUUUUUGUUGUUAUUUAGUUGUAUUUUGAGUAUAGUUUUAAGGGAUUACAUAAGUUAUUUUGACUUUACUAACUCAAAUUUUAUACUUAUAGAAGUGGAGAUUGGAGAGCUUUUUCAAAAAGUUAAAUUGCCUCAAAUGCCAAAUAUUUAUUUCACAAUCUUAUUUCAUUCUUUUUAUAAUAUUAUUUUAAAAAUUUAUCUAUUAAAAUAAUUUAUAAUUAUUAAUAAAAGUCCUCAUUGAGAACCAAACAACUAAUUUAUUUUUUUUGUAAAAACUCUACUAAUAAAAAUUUUACUUAAAUAAACUGUAUUUAAAAAAUUUAUACCAAACAUAUCCUUAGUCCUCACAUUCUAUGAAGUUAGUAAUAACAAUUUCGUGAUCAUGAAGUAAACAAAUUACAAAGAAAAACUUACCUCUAAGAAACUUCUUAUUGAAUAAUCUUUCUUUGAUUUAUAGUUACCAUUUCAUUGUCUUCAAUUAAGAUUAUGCAAAUAAAGUAUAUUUCGAUUUUCCGUUCCGUACAAAUAAAAUUCUAAUUCAAAACAUCUAAAUUUGUCAUGAACCACGUGUUUAGGUUGAGUUGGUAUUUGCUAGACGUUUAAAAUUCUACUUUAAAUGACGUGUUAUCAAGGGAAUUUCCUACAACAUAUCACCUACCAAGUUGAUAAAUGCGAUUGCAUUUGAGAAAAAAUUUUUAGUAUGAAAUUUAAAAGUCUAUCACUUAUUUGUCCUAUAGUAAUCAUAUAUCUCAAUUGUGAUUAGACAUUGUAUUCAAUUUAACUCUCAAUAACUCGUCUUUAACGACAUGGCACUCGAUUUAACAGAUAAUUUUUUUUUUGGAAUUGAUCACUUCACACCAAUCUUAAAUGAGUUACACUAAAUUUUGAUUAAAAAAAAUUCCAAUUCGAGAAGAUAAAAAUGUAAAAAAAUAAAAAUAAAUCAACAUUAAACUAGAGGUAAGUGUAUAAUAUUCGCUUAAUCCUUGGUAAAAUUUUAAUCGUUUGAUCGAUUGUCUACUGUAAUAGGGUGUCUAAAUUCAUCAUCCCGCCUUUUUAUGAAUCAAUUAAUGAAUUUUACUGUUGGCUGAAUGAACUUAUUUUUUAAAGAAUAGGUUCGUACCGAAUUUUAAAGUGAAAAAUUUGACAACACGAUGAUAAAAUAAUUAUAAAAUUAUGCGGUGUAAUAAUAUUAAGUAAAAAAUUAUCACAUUUUUUUUAUAAAAUUUUAUAAUUACUUUCGUUGCUGUUGUGUCGCUGCUAGGAUAUUUAUCAUUUUUCAAAUUAGACAUGCAUCUUCUUUCGUUAUCAUUGUUAUUUUUCUACAAAGACGCGAAGAAAAUGAAGGGUUUGCUUAGAUUAUUCUUACCAACGCUAUAAAGAAUUAAAAAGUUCAUAAAAUCUUGAUCGACCCAUACGUGGGGGGGGUACGUUACCUGUAGGAUCCCACUGACACGGUAGUGAAAGCCGAAAAUGUAAGUGAAAAGUAAAAAGACAGAAAAAUUAUUAAAACUUGUUUAUGUAAUAAAGUUGUCAAGAGUUGAGCAUGAAAGUGAGGUGGGAUCCACCAAUAAAGUGUUGGCUCCAUUGGUAAUGGAGUCCUCUUAAGUGGUUUGAUUGGGUUUGUUUCUCAGUUCGAGUCGCAGGAAAGUCGCAUUUAUUGGGAGAACCUGUGCCUCUCGGUUCGAGCGGGGACUUCUAAUCUGAAUUGUGGUACGGGCUUAAAGGUGUCUCCCACAGUUGAGACCCUCCCCAAGAUACCUCGGGGAUAAAAAAAAAAAAAAAAAGAAGUGAGGUGGAGUCCAUGUUUGACCCCAGUUUACAAAAAAAAAAAAUCAAAUAUUCAAAAUUUUGCAGGGCUCUCUCUUUAGACUCUUUUACUUCAAUAACUUUGCAAUUUUGAGACGAGAGUGAGAGAACGGAGGGAAAGGGGAGAGAGAAAGCACCCCAAUAACUCUCUCUCUCUCUCUCUCUCUUUCAAACUCUCUCUGUCUGUCAUGUUCUUUUGGUGAGAUUUGAGUUGUUUUGGUUUCAAUAGUUUUGUUCUGUAAUGCUUUUUUUUAAUAUUUUUUUUCCUCUCUUCAAAAAUAUUUGGGUUGUGGCAACAAACAAAGCGUCUCUAUUAUAAAACUUUUUGUCUUUUUAACUUAACUCUCUCUCCCUCUCUCUCUCCAUCAUUCAUGUUACCAUUCAAUAAAUAAUCAAUGAUAUAACAACAGUUCAUCUUCAUUAUUUCCCAUUUCUCAUUUCAUUUUUUUUUCUCUUACAAGUUUUCCUUUUUUAUUUAUGAUAAAUAUUCAUCUUCCUCAUCACCCUUAUUCUCUCUCUCUCGCACACUCUUGUCUCAGAACUCAAACCAGGAAGACAUAAAAUGAUUAAAGGAUAGGCCACACCAAAGGAAAUCUUUUGUUACCAAGUAAGAGCUUUUUGUUUGAAAGAAUGAAUGGUCUCACACUUAUCGAGCCUGAUUGCUCUGAAUUUGUUGAAGUUGAUCCAACUGGAAGAUAUGGAAGAGUACUUACAAUUUGCCUUUCCCUCUAUAUAUCUUUGAGAUUAAUGUUUCAUUUUCUUUUUUGGGUUUAUUUAUUUCUUUAUUGUGUUUUGGUUGUUGCAGUAUAAUGAGAUUCUUGGGAAAGGAGCUUCUAAGACUGUGUAUGGUUCAAAAUUUUAAGCUUUUAUUGUGUUUUUUGUAGACCCAUUUGAGAUUUCUUCAGGAUUUGUGCAUCUUGAGCUUGUUUUGAUUGUUUUGAUGGAUACCCGUUUCAGAUUUUUUGAGAAAAAAUUGAGCUUUGAAAAAAUGGGAUUGUUGAUUGAUUUGUGAGAUGUGUGAUUGGUGUUUUUGUGAAAGCAGGUAUAGAGCAUUUGAUGAGUAUGAGGGGAUUGAAGUUGCUUGGAACCAGGUCAAGCUCUAUGAUUUCUUACAAAGCCCUGAAGAUCUUGAGAGACUCUACUGUGAAAUUCAUCUCCUUAAGACACUGAAGCACAAGAACAUUAUGAAAUUCUACACUUCUUGGGUUGAUACUGCUAAUAGGAACAUCAACUUUGUAACUGAAAUGUUCACUUCUGGGACUUUGAGACAGUAAGAUUUGUCAGAGUUGUAUAAUACUUCAUGAUUCUUGUCUUCUUCAAAUGCUAAUUUUGCAUUAUCAAAAGGAAAAAAAAUUUUGCUAAUUUUGUGUUGGGUUACUGAUGAUCAGAUUGCUGAAUGGCUUUAUGCAGGUAUAGGCUAAAGCACAAGAGAGUCAAUAUUAGAGCAGUGAAGCUUUGGUGUAGGCAGAUCUUGAGAGGACUUCUCUACCUCCAUAGCCAUGACCCUCCUGUGAUCCAUAGAGAUCUCAAGUGUGACAACAUUUUUGUUAAUGGAAAUCAAGGAGAAGUGAAGAUUGGCGAUCUGGGGCUUGCAGCAAUUCUCAGAAAAUCUCAUGCUGCUCACUGUGUUGGUAUGUUUCUCUGACUGGGAAAAACAGAAUCGAAUUAACUGGAAAUGAGCGGGGACAUUAAAUUUUUGCUGAUUUUUCCUUAAUAUGAAGUAAAUGUUGUUAAUCAUAGAUUUCCGAUCUUUAUGGAUUUUGAUUGGGUAUAUGGGGAUUAAUUUAGGUAGGUUGAAGUAUAUAUCAUGUUACUAUUCUUUCUACAGGGACACCAGAGUUCAUGGCUCCCGAAGUGUACGAAGAGGCAUAUAAUGAGUUAGUGGACAUAUAUUCAUUUGGCAUGUGCAUUUUGGAAAUGGUCACUUUUGAAUAUCCGUAUAGCGAAUGCACUCAUCCUGCUCAAAUUUACAAGAAAGUUGUAUCUGUAAGAGCACUCUUACCCUUUUUGUGAUUGAUAUGCUUUAUGCCUUAGAUGAACAGACUGAAUUCCAUUAACAUGCUUUAUUAAUGUAGGGUAAAAAACCAGAUUCUUUGUACAGAGUGAAGGAUCCUGAAGUUCGACGAUUUGUUGAGAAAUGUCUUGCAACUGUGUCUCUUAGGCUUUCUGCUAGGGAGUUGUUGAAUGACCCUUUUCUCCAAAUUGAUGAUUGCGAGUCCAAUUUGAGAUCACUUGACUACAGUAGAGAACUUGAUGAUAUGGAUCCUCUCAUAAGGCAACCGCAUAUUGAUUUUCAUCACAUUGACAAUUCCUUUAGUAAUGGAUGUGCUAAUGGGUAUGGCUAUGACACACCAAGUGAAUGGGGGUAUUCUCCUGUUGAGGUUGAAUCAAAUGGGAUUGAACUUUUUGGGUAUCAUGAUGAUGAUCAUUCUUCAGAUGUUGACAUCAGUAUCAAAGGGAAGAGGAGAGAUGAUGGUGGAAUCUUUUUAAGACUCAGAAUUGCUGACAAAGAAGGUUAGACAGCAUUUUCUUUCUCUGUCCUUUCUGUGAAAUUCCAUUGGAUUAUGAAGUUUUCCUUUGUAGUGGAAUUCAAUGCACAAGUUUUUUUAAAAAUUUUCUUUUCAGGUCGAAUCCGAAACAUAUAUUUCCCAUUUGAUGUUGAAACUGAUACAGCGUUGAGUGUGGCAACCGAAAUGGUUGCAGAGCUCGAUAUUACUGACCAGGAUGUGACUAAAAUAGCAGACAUGAUUGAUGGGGAGAUUGCUUCACUAGUACCUGAAUGGAGGCCAGGGCCAGGAAUAGAGGAAACUCCUCGAUUUGCAAAUCAAGGCUUCUGUCACAAUUGUGCUUCCAACCGUACCUCCACUGGUUCCCUCAUGGAAUAUUUUUCAAAUCCUUAUGGCACCAAUCUGCAACUCCUUCAAUGCUGUAGAAAUGGAUGUGCUUCAAUGCAUGGCCGGUUUGGAGAGAUUACAUUUGAUGUUGAUGAAUCUGAGCAUCAUGUGACUGACGGUGCACCAAAUGAAUCAAGCCAAUCAGACUGCUUACAUUACCAGGAAAUUUGGGGUCAACUUGAAAGCCGAGAGCUUAGUUCAGUGGACUCCAGACACAGCCAUUCUGAUGAAGAAUAUGAAAAAUUGGAUCAGUCAUUCGUAACUGAGGAUAAUAAAGAAACAAAAGUGGAGAGUGAAACUGCUCUAAAUGCCAGAAAUUCAACCAGACACUUAGUGAAUUCUCAUUCUUAUUCUGAGGUUCCUUCAGUGGAUUGUGACCAGUCGGACAAUCAUGAGAAAGAAAUCCAGCAAGAACUGAGAUGGCUCAAGGCAAAGUACAUGAUGGAACUAAGUGAACUUAGAGAACAACAAUUAGGCGUGGCAUCAAAGACUUCAAGUUACAGCAACAAAGAAAACAAUACAACUAAUGGCCGUUUGUCAUAUCCCAUAUCAAGCCCCACUCAAAGAGACAGAAAUGGAUUUCACUUGAACUUACCCACGGACAAGAAGCAUUUUAGUUCAAACUGCUCUGAUCGUAUCAAUAAGAGCUGCCCCAGUUUGGAUCCCCCAAUGGCCCGAUAUUGUGGGGCGAUAAAGGAAUCUCUUAGAACAGAGGAUACAGUUACAGCCACUCGUUUUCCCUCCGGAUCAUUGCUUCCUCCCUCUCUUCACAGGACAACAUCCCUCCCUGCUGAUGCUAUUGAUUUAUAAGUCAUUCGCGCUCCUUGAUUCUUUUGAAACGUUCAUAAACCUAAUAGAGUCUGUGUAAUUAUCAAUCCAUCCUUUUUGGGCAGGUUAUAUUCAGUGCACACCUCAAUGUUCUUCACUGCUGUUAGCUAGCUUAUUCUUCUCAAAACAUGCAUGCAUAUUACUGAAAUUCAAAAAGCAAUGUUAGUUCUCCACGUGGUGGUGCAGUUUUUGCAGCUUGACUAUUCUCAUUGCCCAUAUUAUUUACUUUGUCACGUCAAUUUAGAAAAGGGUUAUUAGAGCAGCUGCAUUGCUCUUGCUCCAGUAAUCAUGGCCUUAAUAAGCGGAAAUGCUACCAGUUGAGGCUUGUGGGAUAUCCAUGUGUUAUUACUUGCUUUAUAUGAAGUCAUAUGCUUAUGGCCAUGCCCAUGAUUCAUGAAGCCAUUAUUGAGGGAGAGAAUGGGAGAGUUAUGAAUCUUAUGAUUAAGUUAGAUGGCUGAUUCGCUGAAGAGGUGAAUUAUUGGUGACAUGGUGUGUCAGUUCUAGCUGGCCAAUGAGAAAUUUCCCUAAGAAAACCCUGCUAAGCUAUAUUUAUAUUCUAGACCCCACGAAUUUUCUGUCAAACUAUUGAGGAUAUUUCAAAAUGAAAGUAAGUUUAUGACCCCACCAAAAGCAUCAUAUUCCCAUCCACGUAUGCUAAUCAACUGGGUCUGGAUUUACCCACAUGAUCAAGAUCGGUUUCUUUAAUGGAAAAUGGUCCAUAAUGUGGACUACACAAACACAUCCUCGAUCACUUGGCCUUGACUUUUAAGGCAAAUAAAUAAUUAAAAUUCAGAAAAUGCAGGGUAGUCACCUCAUGCAUACUAGAUUUUUUUGUACAGAUAUUGUACUCUUUUCCGCACUUGGAUUCUAACUUUUCACAGUCAAUUCAAAUCACAUCAAGCUUUAUAUUGUUAAUUAAGAAAUGCGACUAGUCUUUCACUCGGAAUUGUCCAUUAAUCAUCUAGAAAAGUUUAUUCUAAAUUAUUUUAUGAGCCAAGUGGGCAUGAUUGAUUUUUUCUAAAUUCUACUUUACCAAAGAUUUGUUGCCUUCUCCAAUACUGAGAAAAAAAAAAAAAAGAUAAAUCGUCAAUGUCAGUAAUAGAGAUGACUGAUUCUUUAGCUUUACCAAGGAUUUUGUCGCCUUCUCAAGAAAAAGAUCAGGUAAAAUAUUCACUAAUAAAAUAUAGGAUCAUGAUCGAAGCCAAGUUCAUAUGAACUUAACUUUGAACUUUCAAGCAAGUGCUGGUGGGAAGCAAGACUAAUGACUAGACACAUGCUCCAUGGUUUGAGAUCUAGAGCUUGAAUUUUCACGGGAACCUUCCUUUAUAUUUGAGCAAAUUUUAUUCAUCAUUGUCCAAAAUAGGCUCUGAUAUUCAUACUAUAAAAAUAAAACUAAUUCAGGCAAGAUUUAGACAAAGUCUCGGUAGAUAUUAAAGAUGUUUCAAGCUAAACUAGUCGAUGCCCACGAAAGAAGAACUAAAUUUAUUCUAUCCCAACACAUGGAUGCUACUGGAAAUAAGAUUAAAUGCAUGACUUGCCUCGAAUGGUCAUUCCAAUUUGUUCAUCAGAAGUAACAAACAUUAUCAUUAUGUUAGUGACUAGCUUUGUGGGUUGUAUAUAUACGUGGAAUAGGGACAGUAUCCAUUUUACAGAGUGUGUGUGAGGCUAUGGGUGCUUUUGGGUUUAUUACCUUUUGAAUGAUUGAGAACUUUUUUCAUGUUUUUGCUCUCAUAUUUGAUAGUGUGAUCAUGACAAUGAAAGAAAGAAAGUUUCCCCUUUCCUUUUAAUUAAGAUUGUGAUAUGUGAAUAAACAUCCACAGAAGCAUAUAUGGAAAGUGGAAAGACUUGAGUCAUAAAGAAGUUGCUUUUUUAUUUUUUUUCUUAUGAAGUGAUUUUUACACCUGGGUAAUGUCAUAUUCGUUAAACUACUUUCUGAAAAAGAUUGCCUUGACUAGACCUCACGGUUGGAUGCGUUUGAAUUUCAUUUCUCCAACCCCCAAAAUCUCCAAAAUUUAGUAGACGUUGCAAUAAAAAUAUUUCAAGAGAAACAACCUAAUUUUGAUUGAUACAAGUGAAAGGUCUUGUUCUUGGACCAAACCCAUAAAUUUCUCAAUUGAACUUGAGGAAAGCCUUAAAAAGUUUGCUCUACAGCCCAAGUUUGGUGCACCUAACCAAAUAAUCAAGAACUGAUUGGCAUUGCAAUGUGAAUAGUAUCAGAAACAACUAGAAUCCUUCACCAUCAGUGUCCACAUCUCCGGCUUCAAGGCCAGGAGGAAAGAACGGGAUUAAAUAAAACAAUGUGCACAAAACUUCUUGUGACCAUCAACCAAGUUCCUGGCCACCUUAGUCUGGCGUAAUUCCACUAUUAGGGGUCAUCAUGACAACACUUGUUAGAAUUGAAGAGAAAGUCAGUGGUACGUCAACGGUGAUGUAGCAAAGCAAAUUAUUAAAUGUAUGGUCUGUAUAAUUAAAUUUAAUAUAACUUUUUUUAAAUAAUAAAAUACAUGAAUUAUGCCUCUUUUGUACUCUCUACCGACAAGAUUAUCCUCAGAUAAAGAAAAUACUUAAGAGACAAUAGUGUCUAGAAACUUCUGCUGAACCAAUGCUAUGAUGCGUCAAUGGGAAAAAGAGUGGCUCAAGAUUCAGAUGAUAAUAUAUCUCCAUAAGAAAAUAUAUUAAAUAAAAAGAAAAAAAAAAAGAAAUUACCAUGCCUCCAUCAGAGCCAAUUAUAAACAAGCGACUAUAUGCAUAUUAACUAUUCAUUAAAUGUGAAACUCCAAUGUUUAGGGGCGAUGGAUGGGAUAUACUUUAUUCGGAUUAAACACCAGAAAUUUACAAAACUGCACCACAUGGUAUCAUCCUCUUAUACUCUUCUGUACUCCCAACAAAGUUAUGGGUAGCCGUCACGAAUAUGAAGGAAAUUAGUUUCUUUUGUGAAGAAAAUAUUUAGCCUCUGUUUAUUUCGUCACAACAGAACACCCCCAAACCAAUUGCAAGAGAAGUUGCAUCUGUAUACAACUAUAAACAAUUUGUACUGUAUUCACAAUACCCAGAUCCAUAAAAUCUUAUUAUAGAGGCCUCAAUAGUGGGUAAUCUUCCAGUAGUUCCCUCUCUGACAGUGUGUCAUUUUCGUUCUGUGGUGUCCACAACACCUCUACUGCCUGUAUAGUAUUCAAAGCAACAUUAAAUGAUGAAAUUUAUAAUGUCAUAAUUUUAAGGAAUGUUUCUAUUUUUACCAUGAUUUUGCUUGAGGGAAUUGAAGCGAGCUUUUGCAAGGCUUCUUUUAAGUCUUCACUGCCGUUGAUGCUCGGCAGCUUAUGCACUCCUUCAGCAGCCACCAAGAUUGUUAUCUGCAAAUCCAAGAUAUAUGUCUGAUUUAGAAAAAAGAACAAAAUGAAAACUCAAGAGAGCCAAAGCGUAAAGUCAAAUUUCUAGUUCUUUACCAUCAGUCAACUCACUUAAGAAAGAUAAUGAGUUAAAUUUUUUGGAAUUUGUAGACAACAUACUACUAAUGCAUUGAAUUUUUGUAAUCAAGCAUGAAAGUUUGACAAUUCAAGGAUAAAAGCAUGAAUCCAAGUCUCCCACAAAUUUUCAAAAUAACUAAUUAAAGGAAAGUCUUCUGACACAGAGAACAGAGAACUUACCAUUCAAUUGAUUCCAUAUUGUUAUUUGUUUUUAAUGAGUAAUUCAUAGGAAUAACAGGCCCAUGUCAAUAAAUUUCAAAGUUUUUAAUGAGCGAUUUUCACCAUAGCUGAGUCACAGCAAUAGUUUUAAUUCUUUGUUAAACUAAAACACUCAUUUAAAUGAUUUUCGCUAAGGCAACUGGGCAUCACUUUUUCCAGCUAGUACAACCUUUCAAUAAUUAAGAAAUCAUAAACAACAGCUCCCUACCCAACAAACAGAAUAUAUUGAUCACUCCAACCUUAAAACAAUGCAAAAGCUCAAUGAUCCAGAAUGUUUUUCCACAUGAAAGUUCCCGAGGGUACAUUUAACAUGCCUCUACAAUAUGUGCAACUCCAGAGAAGGAACCUUACCACUAUGUACUCAUUGCUAAAUCCAUUAGCUCUUUGGCUGCUUGUGCUUUUCCUUCUAAUGCUGUUAACAUUAACAAGUGUCUCUUCAUUAAAUUUCCCUCUUUCUUCAAUAGAAAGUGUAUUGAAGCGUUUUUCCCCCUCCUCUACACUUCGCUUCACAUCCACCUUAAAAGAAAAGUGCACGGGAAUGAGCAUAAUAAUCCCAAUAUCAAAUAAAAAAAAUUCAUAAUACAACAAUCAGAAAGAAAAAAAUAACAAGCCUUGACAGAGAAAGUGUUACAGACACAAAAUAGCAAUGAAGGUACAGUACUCUAGACAAUGCCCAAUCCAAUACAUUCUCUGAUAUGAACAGUAGAAAGAACAAAUAUUCUCUAAUAUGUACAUUAGAAAUACCAAAGUCUCGAGGACCAAGAUCUCGAAACUGGAAACAAAUUUUCUCUAAUGAAUGCUGUUGAUUGAAGUUGACAGAAUUAAAGAGCAAGCGGCCUAUGUUCUGUUUAUUCUUUCUUACACCAAAGUUUCAAGUGAGAUAUACAAAACUAUGUGCCCUCCAUGACCUGUGGACUAAAUUGGAUAAGAUUGGACUUAUGUUUUGAGUAGUACAUGAUUCAGUUGGAAAGAAUUUUACAUUUAGUCAUUUAAUUUAUUUAAUUUUUUUCAGAAAUUAAAUAAAAUAAUUUUAACGUUUUAGAAAAUUGUUUAACUAUUUACUUAAUUCAACUGAAAACUACUUAAAAUAUUUGAACGAUAAUUCAAUUUAAUUAUUAAACAUUUUAAUAAUUUAUAAUAAUAAGAUUUAAAUAUAAAUAUGAUAAGAUUAUAAUAGAUUAUGUAUUAUAAUUAACUCAAAUUUUUAUUAAUAAUUAUUCAAAUCAAUGUGAAUGAAAAUUAUUAUUUAUGAUUUUGAAGAUUUUCAAUUCAAAUAACUCAUGAAUAUUUUAUUUAUAGGCCAAUAAAAAAUAUAUUAUUUCAGCUACAAAAAAUAAUCUUUCCUUUAUUACUGCAAUAACUAAUAAUUAUCAUUUAUAAUAAAAAUAUUUAUCCCCAUUCAUUGGAUAAGUUAUCCUAUGAGUAUCCCAUGAAAAGAGUAUUAAAAAAAUGGUGGGUGGGCCCACCGAAUUUAUCCUCGUCUCCUUGGUGUUUCCAAAAAUAGUUUUGCACAAAAAAAAAAUGAUAUAAUCCCCAUUUUUUAAUUUAUCCUACAACCAAACAUGCCCUAAAUAUCAUAAAUUAUUUUAGGAAUAUACUUGCAGCCAUGUGAAUACGAUUUUGUAAUGCACAAUUGGAACAUUUUUGGUCAGUGUAGAAAACAUGGGAUUGGAUCCAUCUUUUGGAAUAUUAAGAAUUGGAGGAUAUAUGGAGUGAAAAUAAACUAUGUCUACCUCCAUUUGGGGAUAAGCUAUGGAGAUGAAUGCUUCAAUUACAAAUUAAAAUAUUUAAUUAGUAAAAGAAUAAAUAGAUGUGGAGUGAAAAAUAAACCAUGUUUACCUCCAUUUUUGGGAUAUGUUGUGGAGAUGAAUGUUUCAAUUAUAAAUUAAAAUAUUUAAUAAGUAAAAGAACAAAUAGAUGUACUGCAUGAACUCAAGCACUACUAAAUAUAAUCUCUACUCCGACCCAAUUAUAUCUGGUUCAACCAUGCAUAAAAAACAUGCACUUAGAAAGAACAUGCAUUCUCAUAUACUGUGACAAUCACAUGCAUACAUGUACAAGAAAACACAAGACAGAUGUAUGCAUGUAAAUGCUACUUCCAAAUUAGAGGAAUACACACAUGACUAUCUGUGUAAUAGCAAAAACCCUAAUUGCUAUUUAUCUAUUUAUUUUUCUUGGUAAGAAACUAAACAAAGAAAAAGAAAUAAGCUACAAAACUGAGCUAACUGUUAACUUCAAUUCAAUCAUUUAGACAAACAGCCCAAACAUUCACUCAAAGAUGGCAGUUACACUUACAGAGGAAUAACCAGAGAUGCAAUAGUCAGGAUGCCGAAGCAAAGAUAGUGUUGUCUCUGCAAUCAAAAGAAGACUAUAAGAAACAACAUUUAGAUAGAUAACAAGCGUAACAAUGAGAAAGGUAUUCAACAUAUAUUAAGCUUACCUGUCAGUACAUAACUCAGACCCUCUGUGGUUGAUGUAUCUGCAACUUCAGCAAUUCGAUUAAGAUCCUUCUGAAGAGACCGCCCCAUGCCCAGCAACCCAACCUGAAAACACAAAAGGACAAUGAUUUCCGGAUAUCCAACUAAAUGCUAGAGCCCUCCAACUCAACCAUUUUCACUUAAAUGAAUAUCUAUUCUUGUUAAAGAGAUGUCAAUCCACCAAAAUCAUACAGAAGCUAAAAUGUAUCUUGUUAGAAAGCUUCAGUUCCAAAUAAUAUCAGUGUUUCUGAUUACAUGAAAACUUAAAAUGAUUACAUGAAAUCUCAAAUUGAAGUAUUGCAUCCAUGAGACAAAUACCAUUUUCCCAAGCAGUCAAACCUCUUACUUCACCCAACCCUUGAAUCUCUAAUAUUCUUGCUAACAUACUUACGGAAACAAGCCAAUUUUCAUCCUUUAUUAGAUGCUAGUCACAUACUAUAUUAUUGGCAUUCCGAAAAAAACCUUCUCAGAAAAUCACCAUGGUCAUUUCCCAGACACUCUCUGCGUAACCACCAACUUCAUACUAAAAUGAAAUGGAAGCUCAUGCAAGGCACAAUAAUCAAUUACUUAACCAACAAAAGAACCUAUUAUAUAUAUCAUCGAUCCACAAACAGAAACCUCAUAUUUAACUAUCAUACCAAAUCGUAAAAAACAACUGUAAUGCAUAUUAUCAAACUUACAACAUCUAAUCAACUAAUAUAAUCAAAGACGCAAAUCCAAUACCUGAAGCUUAAUAACACUAGUUUUGUCAGUAGCAGUCAACACACUCCCAUCCGACCGGUCCGAUAAGAACCCCGAAACCAAAACAAAAGCUGCAAAACCCAUCAGUAUCAAGAACAAACUCGACCCGGCACCCACCCCAACCCCAACUGCGGGACCCACGUAAAUCCCCCCACCGGCCCCACCAAACGGGGACGGAGCAUAAUACGGCGCCGAAGCAGAGAACCCAACCCUCGGCUCCACCAUGUAAGUCCUCGACGACGAGGAGGAAGAAUGCGACGAAAAUGACCUUCCCCCCAUUCUCCCACCCGACGCUGCAAAAGCUAAAUUGGGAUCCCAAGUUAACAGAAACCCUAACACAACCGCAAUAACUGCUGGUUUCUUUAGCGCCUGAAUUGAUUUAGAGAGGGCGUUGGUUAAAAUCUCAAGUGGGUCGAAAAACCGAUCUGGACUAGCGCUCGAAGUGGAUGAAGAUUCGAUGUUUUGGGGCCUGCAGAAGCAUUUGACUCCAUUGAAAUUGCGGGCGGUGGUGGUGCGUUGAAGGGUUCGAAAAUUGUUCAAAUUUGCGCUGAAUUUGGCGGGUCUGUGAGGGAACAGGCGGGGAUUGGGGCGCAAUUGUGUCCAUUUAAAUGCAUUCAAUUCUAACAACGAAGUGGCUGCCGCCAUGGAUUGCAGAGAGUGAAAUUUGAUUUGAUCUCGGGGAAUUCUUAUUGCGACUGUGUUGCGAGAUUUUUUUUCCCUUUAUUUGUUUUAAUUUAAGUUAGAGAUGAGGGCAAUCUGAGUGAUUGUGAAAUGGAGGGAGUUUUGGCCACAAGUCGAAAUGUA
rnacentral:lncRNA from 1 species